UUUUUUUUUUAAUCAAGGUAAAAAAUAUAUACUUUUUAAAUAUAUUAUCUCAAAUAAAUUAUCUAAUAUUUAUGGAUGUUCAAAUUGAUUCAAGAAUACUUUUAACUAAUUUAGAAAAUCAUUCCUUUUGUUUCCAACUUUAAAAAAUAUUUUUCAAAUCAUAUGAAAAAUAUUAAUGGCAAUAAAGAUUAAUAAUAAUAAUAAUGAAAUGCAAUAUUAAUGAGUUUUAGUUUUGUGGUCAUGGAUUUGCCAUAAAUUUAUGGUCUACGGUCAAGGGUAAUUUGCUUAGAAAAUGUCAGGGAUGGAUACAUUCUAACUUAAAACAAAAAAGCAAAAUUGAGAGAUUUCACUAAUUGGUCUUCCUAUUUUUCAUAAAAGAGGUAGAGAAUUCGAGACCUCUCUGUCACAAAAGGUUAUCAUCAAUUUGGUAAAUAUUAUUUAAAAGGUACACAAUGUUAAUACGGUCCAUUGGGCCUCUCAUAUAUUAAAAAAAAAAAUUGAGAGAUUUCAAAGUUUGAAAUCCCAUCAAAUUAAAAAAAAAAAAAGAGCAUUUCUUUUUCUUUUUAAAUGAUUUUGUUUUGACACUGUUUAAACCAUGUUAAUUAAAGGUUAGUGACACUUUAAAUGCUUAACCAUGUGUGUCCCAUUUUGCAUAUGAAAAACCUAGCUGGAUCUCGAGAACUGUACACAUUGGUCGGCAUAACCCAAUUAAUGUAAAAAUUGCUAAUUAAUGACCAUUGCAAUCAUAUUAUGCGCUAUAAAUAAUUAUAUAUGUAUAUCUUGAAAACAAAUCUAUCAUACGCGUCAUCAUCAAAAUUAAUUCCAUGCCUUAUCAUUAUUAACAUUAAAGGCGCAAAAAUUAAUAAUAAAAUUAAUUAAUUAAUUAAUCCCUCCAUUCAAAAAAAAUAUCACAAAUUAAAAAAUAAUAAUUAUUAUGAUUAAAAGAUAAUUUUAUUCAUAUAAUCAAUAUUAAAUAAUAAUAGUUCUAAAAUGACUCAUAUUUUAGGAGAGAGAGUAUUUAAUUGAAUUUUUGAAAUGUACGAUAAUCAAAUAUAUCAAAGUUUGAGUUUUAUUUAUUUAUUUAUUUAUUUAUUUUGAUAGAAGUUGGAAUUUGGUCAUCAUUUUAUAGAAGUUAGUGAUUUUCUUUAGGAUUUGAUUGGUAAGUGACGUAUUUGUGGCAAUAGAAGAAAUUAGAUGCAUCAACAAUAAAACAUCUACUAGACAAAUUUGCUGUCACAACCUAACAUAUGAAAAUAUCAUGUUAGUGCUCUUUAUGGCCUUUAUUUAGGAUGAUUCUUAGCAUUUCAAGCACUAAUAAAAAUUGUAAUAACGGGCAAAGUCUUAUUGGUGGAGUAACCAAUACCGGAUCCCAUCAUCUCUUUCUUUUCUAAUAAAUUCUUUUUUCUUUCUUUCCUCUGCCAACUCUUUUACACCAUCUAAUGCAAAUAUAUAUAUAUAUAUAUAGAUAUAUAUAAUCUUUUAUUUUCUUCUCAUUCUAAUAUGGUAUUCCAUACAUACAGCAAAUCCUUUAGAAACUUUCUACAAUUUAUGUUUUUUUUUUUUUUCCUUAAAGAAAAUCUAAUAGAAAAAGAAUGUGAAGAAUUUAAAGUUGGAGCAGGUCGUUUUUAGCAAAGAAGGUUGUAAGCCAUGACCAAAAUGCUCUACCCGCUAACAUUGUUUGAAUGAAUGUGAGACUACUCUCCCAGUGGCUUCUCAAUAGACUAAUUGCUACAACGAUCAAUGCAAAAAUGGAAACACUGCCUGAGAUAAUGAAUAAACCUGCCAAAGGCCUUGGACCUAAACCUUGAGUUCCAGAACUGGCAGUAGAUGGUGAAGUUGAGUAUUUUGAAUAUGAGAGCUUUUGUUCCUCUAGUUGCUGCAGUUCUCCACUCUGGGUUAAGUAUAUUAUAGCCUCUGAUAUAUUCAAUGCCAAGGAGGAUCCCUUUGGAAAUACCUGAUAGAGAGUAAAAUAUUAGAACUUGGAGAAAAAAAAAAUAAUGCAUAACAAAAAGUGUAAGAAAGAAAGGAACAGAUGAUAUUACAAAGCCAAAACCAGUGAGCUUGUAAGUUGGUCCUGUCAUUGUGAAGCCUGUGGAAAAUUCUGAUAGGAAAACUCUAGCAUGGGGAGUAAACAUAAAGGCUGCCCUUAUAUCUCCACUUGAUAGGGCUUUUGCGAAGUCAUCAAUUGAAGCUAUGGUUUUGAUGUUACCUGUUUUGAAACCUAAAACUUUCUCUAAAUACCAGAAAGUGAAGGGAUUUCCAUUACAACCAAUAGUUGCCCUCGUCCUCUUGAGUGAACCAAUGUCUGUUCCUGAUGGUUCGAGUUGGGGAUUUGUUAGCAGUGAAGUUAGGUUAGCAGUGUAAGUUGAGGUAACAAUUAGGAUAAGGAAUAGCCAUGGUGCAAGCACCAAACGAGACCAUUGGCUCCUGAUUGAUUCUCCUGCAAAAACAACGGAAAUGGGUUUAGAAAAGCAGAACCAGUGCUUAAAUUGUCAUAUGCAAGUGUAGUUCAGUUCGGCUACUCACUGUGUGCAAAAACAAGUGUUGAGAAAGAGAACCAGAGCAAUGUUCCAAUUUGUCUAUUAGGUGGACCACGAAAAUCAGAGUUGAUUCUAUGUUCAAGGCACCAAAUUACAAAACCAGUAAAAAGUGUCAUAGCUGCCAUUAAUAUCCACAUUCCUUUGGUGAAGGGCUUCAUGAACAUCCAAAACUGGAGUGAUUCAUCUGAUUUCAUUGUCACAACCAUUACAAGGCCUGCUUGAAUGUAAGGCUGUGAGAAUUCUAUAUGCUGGUUCCUGUCUGCAGUUAUUAGAAUAUCUCCAAUGGCUGCAUCAAAAGUCUUUAACAGAAAUAAUUAGUCUUCACCAUCAUUAAUUUAGCAUAUUUUAAGGUAAAUGGAAAACUACCUUGUUAGAAACUUCCUUUAUCAGAUCAUUGUAAGAGCCAUAAAAUGGAAACAGGUUGUACAUCAAUGGAUAUUGCAGACGUCUCACCGCAGCUUCAAAAACAUCAAUGGAAAAUCCAGUGAUGUAUGUUAUAUUUUGCUUAUCGUCAUGGUUUGCUUUCAGAAACUGUGAGCAUGUGGAUCUAGCUAGCACGGCGAUCCUCAGUUCUUUCGCUUUAGUCUCUAAAAAUCCAGUUGGAACAGAGGUUCUUCCACCUGGCCAGUACACCCGGUCUAAACCUUCUUCGGCAGUCAAAUUUUUGUUCUUGCCAUUAGCAUGCUUGACAAGGUUCUUAGUGAAACCAAGUUCUUCAGACCAAAAUCCUAUCUCUCUAUAGCUUUUACCAACUAUAUUAAGAAUUUGAAAAGUAGGUUUAUCUCCCAAUUUAUAGUUUUGGAACUGUAUUCUACUGCUCAAGCCCUCAAAAUCACUCGACAAGAUGUGCUGUAACAAGGGUUUUGAAUCAUUUUUCUGCUGUAAUAUUUUAGCAGCCUUAGCAAUUGUCCAAAUUGAAUCAUAUGCUCGAAGUGCAUAAACACUAGGAUGAUGAUUCUUAUCUUCUUUUGGAUAUUCAUCUAUGGAAACUCGUUGGAAAUUCAUUUGAAAUUCUCUGAAUGAAGCGGUAUUAUCUGAGUAGUGAGUCCUAAAACCAAGCACUCCUUGCAUAGAGGUUAUAGCAGAUGCAUUAACAGAAUCAAUAAGAUUAGCAAUACCAUCAGCCAUAAUCCAUACAUAACCUUCCCCCAUCAUUCCCAUUUGCUUAGCAUUUUCAAAUAACAUUGUUGUCAAUGUUAAUGAAGUUUGAACAAAUAUAAAGACCUUGCUUUGCUUCUCCCUUAGAGUCUGCAAUUCUUUCUGAAUGAUGAUAUUUGGGUUUACAAGAGAAGAAAAUUCUGGAAAGGCUGAGAAAUAUUCUAGCUCUACACCAAUUUCCCGGAGUGAAGAAGACAAGAGUGUUAUACCACCUAAAUUGCUUGUGUAUGAAUUUCUCCCUUCAUAUAUAGCAUUCACUUUUGUCCAUUUGAAGGAAGCAACAAUGGCAGAAAUGCAACUAAUGUCCAUAGAAAUAUCCUGAUACAUGCCAAUGACAGGAAAUUUCUUAUUUGGAACUAUUGGAGAUGAUGGUUGGGUUAAGGAAAUGACAGGUACUUCCUUGUUAAUCUCAUCCAUUUCAGCUACUAUUGCAGCUUCCUGCCAUGUCAAGGCACCAGCAAUUGCCUGCACUUUUUGGUCCUUGACAAGUUCAAUAGCUGCAUUUAACAUCACAGAAUGAAAAUUCCUUACUUGUUCUUAAAAGUUUCAUAAGGGCAAUAUGACUGUAGAAAACCACAUUUUCCAAUCCAGAAAACUGGUAUCCAAUAAUAAAUAAAUCUAUAGUAUGUAACAAUUUUAAAUAUCUAGAGAUAUAAUAUGCAACAAUUUAAGUUUUUUUCAUUCUCUACCUGCAAAAACAGCUUUAGCAGAGUUACCAGACAAGUCUACAAUAUGCAGAGACAAGUUAUGGCCUGUUAAGCUGUAAAAAUCUUGCACAGCAAUCUCCAUGGCAACUUUUUCUUCCCUACCCUUCCAGGUGCUGCAAUCUACAAUUCCUCCAAUAUUGAUGGAAUUUUUACCUCCAUGAUUUACCUUACCAGCAUUUGAAAAUGUGAAUUUUGUUGAGAAUAGAAGUAUGCAAUAAAGGAAUGCAAGAAAACUGGACAUAGUUAUUACGGAUGAAAAAGCUUGUUCCUUUGUAUACAAGGGGCGUGUUGAUUUUUAUUUUUUUAUUUAUUAUUGGUCAACACUUUGUACCUUCCUAGCAAGAUACAGGAGCAGAUUUCCCCGCAACUAAUUUUUAUGUAUAUAAGUAUAUAUUUUUAAGAAUUUAGAUUUGCUUCCAUAAACUAUUUGCUAUUUUAUAAUCUUGUCUGGUUAGUGAUAAAAAAAAGUCAAAUAAAUUAAUUUUCUUUCUCUCACAAAAAGUUUCUUUUCCUAAUCUCCAAGACCUGUAUAGGCUCUAGUGUCUCCUUUUGGUAGUGCUCCCAUUGUAUAGUAUUUUCCUCAUUGACUUUUGCCGUAUUUUUCUUGGAAAUUCUCAAAAGACAUGUCAAACAAAUUAGGUUCAAUCAACGUGUCUGCAACUAGUUUUGAAUAGGAAAUAGCCAAGUGAAAGAGGGUUUUAGCCAAUUCUCAAUAAGUCUUUCCCGACGGAAAACACGACUUUCCAUUUAAUUGCCCCAUCAACCACUAGAUUAAACGCCAUCGUUUCUAGAUGCGGGAAUUCUAUAAAUAUGGGCCAAACCAUGUACCUUGGGCUCUGACGUGGGCGGCCCAGAUCUAGAAUAGACCCUUCAGCCUUCAUCUUCAGGAGCUCGUAGCCAAGCGUUUUUAUCUACAAAACAAAACAGAAAAAGAGAAAAAUAAAAAAUAAAAAAGAAGAAGAAAAAGAGGAGAGUAGAAGAAAACAUAACAGCACAAGCAAUAAUUACCUGUUUAGGAUCGCGCGGUUAUGAGAUUAGGGUUUGCAUUUGUGAGAGAAGAAGAUGUGGCACGAAGCGAGAAGAUCGGAGAGAAAGGUACACGACAUGAUGGACGCGGCUCGUAAGAGAGCGCAGAGACGAGCUGUGUAUUUGGCUAAGAGAAGAGGCGAUCCUCAGCAAUCUAUUCAGGUCAUUGGCUCUAGAUGCCGUACCUACCGUGACGAUGGUCUCUACCAAGCCACAGAGGAUCAGCAAGGCCUGUAUGUUAAAUCAAUAAAAUGCUUCUGUUUUGUUUUAGUAAUGUAUUGAUAUGCGAUUAGUUAAGCUUUAUGACAUUGAACUAAAAUUCUCAGGAUUCCCUGGAAUGGAAAACAGGAUGUUCUAAUUGACAGGUUCUCUCUCUUUCUCUUUCUCAUUUUGUGGUGUAUAGUUAGUUAAUUAGUGUUUUUGGCUAUUGAUUUGAGAUUGAGGAAUAUAUACGUUUUUUCAUUGAACAGAUUCGAUGGUCGUGCCUUGCUUGAUUUUAUUCGAGAGGCUGGGUCUAGACGGUUUAGGGCACCUGAAAAAUCAGAAGAAGAAGAAGAACUAGAAGAGUUUGUUAAUUUUGAGCGAUAUCGGGAUUUAAUUAAGCAUCGACGUAGAGGAUGUCGGUACUUUUUUUAUUUUCUAAUUAUGUCUUUAUUCUCAUGUCUAAGGUUUCGUUUAUCUUUUCAAUUUUAUUUUAUAUGUGAAAAAGCCAUCCAAGUAUUAGUUAAGAUAUUCACAUUUGGAGUUAAUUUAGAUUAGAUUUUUUUGAGAUUGUUAAGCUUAGAUUCAAGAGUUCUUAAUUUCACGUUUUGAAACAAAACAGUUACUGAUGAAGAAGGUUUGCAACAUGUAACUCAAGAAAUGGAAGCCAAGACCACUAUUCCGUUUGCUUCAGAUAGGUUUGUCCCUGCCCCUUUUCACUGUUUUUUGAGUUGAUAAGUUUAAGUUUAACUUUUAAUGAAUCAUGUUUCCUUUCACUUCUGUUGGGGUGAUAGCCAAAGACAAAACUCUUAACAUGUUCACAAUGUUGUUUUGUUUACAUUGGAUAAAUGUUAAUGUUCAAUUAAUCUGAACCUAAUUUUUGCAUCCUAAGUUGCUGAGUAGUUCGUUGUACAAGUAGGUUACUACGUUGCUGUGGACCUGGGCAUGAGGUAUCAAAUACAAAUAAAUGCUGGCUUCUAGAGUUGGUCUAUUUUCUGAAAUUUUUGCUAGCAUUUCUUCCAUUGAUUUCAAGUGUCGGACCCACACUCAUAUUUCCUUUUUAAACACAAUUAUUUUAGGGUGAAGUGAACAGUUUGAAAAAACAGCAUGGUUACGGCAAUUUCUCAUUUGGGUUUGCUUAUCCAUCUGAAAUGUGAAUGUCAUGUUUUAAUGAUGUCCAAUAUAUUAGAAUUUAUUAGCGUUCAGUACUAUGGAUUACUGAGGUGCAUAUAUUUUUUUUCUUGUCUUAUAUCUGCAUAGUUGGCUUCACCAAUUAUAUAAUGUCUCAUAUCUUUCUCUUUCUUGCUUUUCUUUUUCUCUUUCAAAUGCAAAUCCAGUACAUCUCAGCUGGCACAAGCUCCUUCCAGCAAGGGUUCAUAUUCACAAGUGGGGUUUUCUUAUGAUGGUGAUGGAAAAGAGGAAUCUCAAUUUUCUGAUGUUGAUGACAAUGAAGAAGACGAUGAAGAUGAGGAUGAUGAGGAUUUUAACAGUGAUGAUAGCAAUGAUGAGGGAAUGGACACAAUAGCAAAAGAUUUUGGAGUAAAAAGGUAUGGGUGGCUUGUUUAUAUGGAUAAAAAGGCGAAAGAGGAAGAGAAGAGGCAAAAGGAAAUGAUCAAAGGAGAUCCUGCAAUCGUAAGUUUUGAAAUAGUAUCUUUUCAAUUUUUUCUUGCCUUGCUGUAAUAAAUGAUAAUAAUAAUAAAUAUGAGGAUUACAGAGGAAGCUGAGUCGCAAGGAAAGGAGGAAAGCUUCUCAGAUAGAACGGGAAAGAGAGAGAGAAGCUGCUCGAAUAACAGGAACUCGAGUGCUCCAUCAUGAUCCAUAUCGGUAGAAAGAGCCUUUUUUUAUUCAUAAUACAUUGAACUUUGUCAGAAAAUGAGAAAAAUGUUCAUGUCAUUAUGCGAGUAUUAAUGCAUUUCCUUUUGUGUGUGCAGGGAACCCAGAAGAAGUCCAACUUAUGAAGCUUAUUCUCGUUCUAGGAGGUCUAGAUCAAGAUCGCGUUCAUACUCACCACAUUCAAGACGAUAUGGUCGUGGAGGGCGUUCUGAUGAAGUUCAUCAUAGCAAGCCAAGGACUCCUAAAAUAGAGUACAUCACUGAAUUUGGAGGCUCUGGUGACAGGGAUGAGCCGAAGCUUGAAGGAUAUUCUCCACCAUCAUCUCCUCCAUCUCAAGCUGAUAUGUUGAGCCGGUCGGAGCACUCGACCUUUAAUUCUUGCAAAGAUACAUUGGACAGUCUUUACACUGCUGCAGCUUACCCAUUUUGUUACCUGAAGAAAACUUUUGUGGUUUAAAAUAGAACAGGACUAGGGUUACCUUCUUCAUAAGUGCCAAGAUGGAGAGGGAAGGAAGCUUCCUUUCUGAAGCUUAUUUUUUCCCUGAAAUGGAUUUAAAAUAAUCACUUCCAAGUUGCAUGGGGUCAUUGGAAUUGUAUCUAAUGCUUGUGCUGUUCUGCAGGCCAUCUUCUGGUCACAUACUUGAGGCAUUGCAUAUUGAUCCUGCAUCCGGUGUAUCCCUUGAUAAGGAGAAGAGCACCAAAGCUGUGAAACCAGCAGUAAGGUAUCUGAUAAUGUAUUGUUAUUGAUGCUGCCCUGACACGUUUGGUUAUGGAUUUUAAAUUAAUAGAUAUGUUAUUGGACAAUUUUUGAGAAUUAUGUUUAUUGCCAAUCUCUUCUUUUUUAUUUACUAUCAUGUAAUAAUAAUUUAUCCAUUUUGAUGGUACUUGUUCCUUUUCCACAGCACAUCAUCAGCUUUAGCAAAAUUAACCAAGGCAAGUUCUUCCCGAGGGCUAGGGCCUUUGAAGCAGCAGCCCGGGGCAAAAAAAGAAACUCCUCAAGAGAGACUUAAAAGGAUCAUGAGCAAACAGCUAAACAAACAAAGUAUGAUCUAAAAUACAACCUUUUGUAGUUAUGUAGUCUUUUUACCUAGUAACUUUGUUUGGAUAUUGACAAGAAACAGACAGAAAAAAUUUCUUGAUAUUUUUAUUUAUGGAGUUACUCUUUCUGCCUGCUUUGCUCAUUUUCCUUUUCUUUUAAACAUCCCUCUCCCCCCACUCACCCACUCCACCCUGCCUUCCCCCUUGUGUUGCUUUUGUUUCUUCUUUUUCUUCUUAUUUGCUGGCCUUAGGAUGGGGGACUGGAGAAGUGAGGUAGAGGAAGCGUAUACUGUAUUGGGUUUUAUCUUUUUUUAGUCCCUAUUCCUGAUAUUUAUUUUUUAUUUUUCUUUAGUUAAAAAGGAUACUGCUGCUGAAAUGGCCAAGAAACGAGAACAGGAGCAUCAGAGGCUAGAGAAACUCGCAGAAACAAACAGAUUAAGUCGUUAUAGGCGCCGUAGUCGGAGCAGGAGCUAUAGUCGAUCUCCGCCCAGGUGUUUAUUAUAGUUGGUACAAUUAAUAACAUGCAGCAAUAAUGUUUAAUUUUUUUGAUAAAUUUAAUGAAUGGUUUAUGUUGCCUUGAUGUCUAGCCAUUGUGUUGCAAAAUCUAAAUAUCAAAACUGUGGUUGUAUCAUGUUGGAAUAGUCACGAUGAUCAUCAUUCAUUAUUCUGCUAGAAGAAUAGGGAACCUGAGAUGGCCUUUACUAUUCUUUUUUAUCUAUAAGGCAGUUGUAGAACUUACUUAUUAAAUAUAAAUUGGUUUUUCUUAGGGUUGGUGAGUUUUGUAGUCCUUGGUGAAUUUUUUUAUCGGAGCCCUCCAAUUUUGAAGGAUUAAAAAAAAUUUCUCCCACCACCAACAGGAAGAGGGGAAAAAAAAGAAAACGUACAAAGAGAUAUCUUCGAUUCAUUCGCUCAUCAAGUAUGUGUUUUUUAUGCAGAAGAUACCGGCGCAGCAGAAGUCCAAGUAGAGGCAGUUCUAGAAGAUACCAUUCUCGUUCACGCUCUCGUUCUCGUUCCCAUUCUCGCACUCGAUCCCACUCUCAUUCACGUUCUCGCUCUUCUUCCCGCUCCCCAAGGCGGUAAGGUUGCAUUGUUUUUCCAUACUGAGAUAUGGAUCUUGGUGAAGUCUAAUUUAGAGAAUCUGGUAUUGCAGGGUGAGAAGUCGCUCAAGGCACUCAUAGAUCUGCUGGCAUCAUGAAAUUUUUAUUUAUGUUUUGAAGCGUAAUAUUCUCUGACAGAAGUACUGAUGGCACUUUUAGCAGAAAAGUAUUUAUUGUGAUAUGGAAACUUUAUGAGCUUGCCUCUGUCAUCCUCCAUCUUUGGUUUUGCUUAAUAUCAUUUAUCGUGUAAAUUGUGCAAAAUGCAAUGGAAAAGUUCCAGAUCAUAUUAAGGACAUUGCAUUCUGCAAUUCUAGAAGUUCUAUGCUUGUAAUCACAUUGGUGCACUGAGUUCUGGGAUCAGACAGUCUGCUACUAAAUGAUACGUUAUCAUCUAAUCUGUGACAUGAUCAGUAACUUUUCAUUGUUCUGGGAUACUAACAUUCCUGGGCUGCUGUAAGUUUGAGUAGUGAAUUAGUGGUUGAAGCUUUUGUUAGAGCAUAAGUGGCAAAACCUCCCCUUUCAUACAUGGUUUAAAAAUCUGUGAAAAUGAGGGAUUGUAGGUCUGCAAGGAAUAGUAACGUUUUGUUGUGUCAAAUGACAAAUUUGAACCAAAUCUAUGGCUCGUCUGAAAUUCCUUGGUCAAAAUUUCGGAUACCAAAAUCCCCAUAUCUAUAAUCUCCAGAAUCAAAUAUAGUCUAAGAGAUGCGGCCUAGAACUUGAAUCGGGUUUUUAAGUGACGUAGAAAUGGAGUUCAAAGCACUUGCCUGCAAGUUUGAUAGGUUAAUUAAACAAACUCGAACCACGGGUCAGUGCGAAGGCAAACGCAACUUGGUUUAUCGAAGAACUUGUCGGGCCUGAAGCUUAUUAUGUUUUUCUAUUGUAGGUCAGAUGUGGACUAGUUGAGUGAUGAUGAUAUGUGAUUUUUAUUUUUGAAGAGAAAAAUAGUUUCAUCUGAUAGUGGAACCUUUAUGUCAAAAUUCUAUCACCGACUAGAUGUGGUGGUAUUGAUAACUAAAGUCUAAAGAUGGAUACAUCACGUCUGGCCAAAGCAAAAUGGAAUCUGAUGAUUAUUAUCUUCUUUUUCUAAAAUCUUUGGCUACUAUGAGAUUCUCACUAAAUUUCUAAUUGCACGAGUCAAUGAUUAGGAGUUUGUGGUUUUAGACUCUCUUAAUUCAUAGAUGGGAAGGAGAAGCGAAAGCGGUUCCAACCUAGCUCAACCAUGUAAAUAUACGGGAGUAUACCGUUAGGUUAGAUCCUAAUUUCCCUUUUUAUACUCUAUUUAAUGAUGAAUUUAGUUCUAAUCGGUAUAUUAAAUUAUCAGAGAACAACUUUAAUUACUAAAAAUUAAAAAAAAAAAAAAAAAAAAAAAAAAAAAAAAGGAAAAAUCACAUUACUUUCUAUCACUGUCAAAUGGAAGAUAAAUACUUGACUACCCAAUAAAUAUUUUUAACAACAUCUACAUCAAAAUUAUUAGAUUUGGAAGAUAAAUGCUUUGUUGUGACUUAAUCCCAAAAUCAAAUUCUAGAUAAUUAAAUGGGAAGCACAGUUAAUUAUACUGUCAACCUUAUAUUAUAUGCUCUUAAAGUUAGUAGGUCCAUAAAUCAUAACACCUCCCGAUUGAAGCUCAAAUGAAUUAUCUUGGGCUAGCUUGGACCAUACUCUGCUUUUCAGAAAGUCAAACACUUUUGUUUAGUAAUUUUUAUAAAAUAGGCAAUUGAAACCCCACCCACUUGUGCAGAAGAAGAAUCCGUGUACAUGAAGGGAAGCUUUUUCAAGUUCAAAAGGCCAUAAAACAAACUUCUAAAUUGCCACUUUUCUCUCGUUAGCCAAUAGCCAUUAGCCAUGAAAGAGAUAGCCUAUCUAUCUAUGCCUUUAGUUGGCUAUGUUAUAUAGACAAGGAAUGAUGAUAUUAAAAUGAAAAAUAUAUGAGCACCACACGAGGGGACAUAGUGCUUAUAAUUGAAUCCAAAAUCAAACCCUUGAAUUAUGAUGUAUCGUUUGUGGACAUUAGGGUUUCACCAAAAGGGCUGUCUUCUUGUUAUCAUCGCUUUAUAUAGUAUUUUGGGAUUUUUUCGAAGGACGAGACCAUGUUGAAAUUUGAAUUUUUAAUCAUAAUAUAGUCAUAAUGUUUAAAAUUUUAUUAAUCAAGAUUAAUUAUUUUUUAAAUAAUUUUAAGAAUAUACUAUUUCAUUAGAUUUAUUUCUAAAAUACUUAUCAACAAAUCCAACUUGUUUGUCAAUCAGACGAUGGACUAGUUGGUCUUCUCACUUAUGUGAGGAGUGAAAUGUCUCGAAUUCGAGUCCUCUGGAUCACAGGUGUUUUUACUAAUUUGGUGAACUAAAAGCCCUUAAAAGCCUCCCUCUAAGAAAUUAAAAAAAAAAAACAAAUCCAACUUGCCUAAUUAAAAAAUUCUUUCACUAAAAGAGUUUAAAAUAGUAAAAGAGAGUUAAAAUUCAAACUAUGCUUUAAUACAAUACAUGGUUACUUUGCAAAAGGUCAUCUAUUGCUUUGUUCUAAUCACUCGAUGUAUGGAGCUACAAUCAAUUCUAUAAUCUUAAAACUUUAAACAAAGGAAACUAAUCAAUUGGCAUUACCUCUUUUAAACCCUUUUAACUAGCUAAUUUAAUGUUUAUUUGGCUUUACUAAUAAUAUCUUAAGCUUAUCACUAAAUAAAUCAACUUGAGAUUGGCUUUACCCACCUACGAUCCCUACAAAGACUAGCUAAACGCACUCGUUUUAUAAGCUUAAAUUAUGAGGUUGAUGAGGCACAUGGGAUGGUGUAUCUCUCUUUGAUUUUAUUAAAAAGGUGCAACCUUUUAUUAUAAUAUGAGAAGUAGCUAAGUUUAAUUAGAUACCUUCCCUACUUAUAAAUCAUUCUAUUCGUGUAGAAUGUCUUUGUUACCUACUUAAUCAUUCAUAAAUAUUUUAACAUUCUCUUCUCACAAUUCCAAAUUUUGCUCUUUUCUUUUUAACCAAUGAUAUCUUUUUUUAUUUCUCAAUGUAUAAUAAGAAAUAUUUUCGUUCCAAUAAAAUUUAUAUUUUCAUUGAUUUGAUCCAUGAGUGGAGUUACGGAUCUGAUUUAAGUAAGUCAAUGCGUUAAUUAAAUGAAAAUUUUCAUUGGUUGAGAACAGAUUUAGUGAGCACGCUAGACUAAUAGUUGGACCAAAGCAACCCUACAAAUCUCAUCAAAUCCAAAUUGUGAGUCAAUUAGCACAUACAACCAACUCAUCUUUUGUUAAUUAAUUUUUCCAUGUUGAUGGAGAGUCCCAUAUAUGUAAUAUCUAAUUAAUUAAGAGAAAUUUGUUUCUCAUGUUUAGCAAUCCUACCUACCUAAUGGACCAUGGAGACCCAUUUUUAGAAGUCAAGAGAGAGGGAGAGAGAAUUUGGGAUUUGGGAUUGUCAUUAGAAAGUAUCACUUCAUUAAUCUUCUAAUUUUAUUAAUUAAAAUAGAAUUUAUUCGGUUUAGAGAUCCAAUCUAUCAUGAAAUUAAUUAAAAAGAAGUUAGAAAUUAAGGUUUAUUUUCAACUAAUGCAAAAAUAGAAACAAUUAACUAAAGUUUGUGAUCCGAAAAUUAUUUUUCAAAAUACUCUGGAAGUCCCAACUAGUUUGAAAACGUAUAUAGAUACAUCAUAUAGUCUUAGUGUACUGAAAUUAUCAAUCAAGCUAGCGGUUUCAAUUAAUAAUCAGGUAUUGUUGAGGUGGUUAGCGACUUUGAUCCCCAUAAAGAUGAAAACACAAAUUGAAAGAGAUUUAUACAAAACAAAAAUUUAAAACUUGGAUGUUUUCAAUGCAUUGUAUAUUUGUCCCACAUGUACUAAAUAAAAGACAAGUGCAUUAAAAAUUACUGACAUACACUUUGUAUUAUUUUCGUGUAAGAUUUGCAAAUCAAGUUACAUAGACAAAAUUUUUUUUUUUUUUUCAAAAAUUAUUUUGGUCAUAGAUUCAUGAAGAAAUUCUAUCCAUGUCCAAUAACCAAAGAACUUAUAUAUUAAAAAUUUAAACCUCACCAGUAACCACUAAUAACAAAAUAAGAGUAAAAAUUGAAUGGGUAGAUGAGUGGUGAUGCUUAUUAUAGGGGAACAUAAUAUAGUGCCCUCUAGAAGGAAUAGUGCCCUCUAGAAACAAUUAGACAAAACAAGGAAUAGUGCCCUCUAGAAGGACACUUGGGAGCUAAGUCCAUAGUCAAUUCAAAUGGACCACCACCUUGCCUUCUAUUCCACAUACAAGCCAAUUCCAAGGGUCCAAUUUGUUGUACACUCACACAACCAUUAGUGACUUUUCCUUGGGGACUUGUAGCUUUUGGUUUGGGUCAUAUGGACCAUCCUCCCCUCUCUGUCUCACUCUCACCAUUUUCUCCAUCAAACUUCACAUCUCAACUUAUUUUGGUACUUUCCUAAUGCUUUCAAAAUCUAAAUAAUUUAUUAAUGAAAAAAUAUUUAAUGAACUUUUAUAUGUAUAUAUAUAUUAAAAGGAAAAAAAAAAAAAAAAAAGAUAUCAAGUACAAUUGUCAACCCGGAUGGGAUAGCUCAAUAAUAAAAAGUAUUUCGGAGUUAAUCACUAUAAUUUAGGUCAUGGGUUCGAUCCUUCGCAACACAAACUCUUCCCGAGCCAAUCCAUUUACCUCCAAAGACAAGUAGGGAUUAAUCAGGUUUACUAUGAACCAUUAAAACGGAUGUGAGUCUGUAUACCUUAAAAAAAAAAAAGUACAAUUGUGAUUUGUUAAGGUAGAGUCGGCUGCCCCUCUUUGAAGAUAAUUAAUUCUAUGUCCUGAACCUUUUCAGGAAGAACCCCUACCAAAUACUUUUUUAUUUAUAAUUUCAUCUUUAAUUGUAAUUAAAGGUACUAGUACUAUAAAAUAUUAAAAUUGGGAUAAGAUUAUAAAAAAAAUUAAAUACGGUGAAAUUGAAAAAGCUCCUAAAAUUCAAAAUAUUUUAAUAUAUUAGACCACUUUUAAUUCGUAGAUUUUGACAUAUAUUAUAGAUUUAUAAUCCCAUUCAUUUGUUAAUAAAAAUAAUCAUAAUUAGUUAGGCUUUUACUUAGGCAUGAUUCCUAAUUUCCUACAAAAGCCUAUCUAAAACCACCAGUUUUUAUUCUUUAACAUAUAUCUUCUUGCUCGUGGGUUGAUUUUUCAUACUGUACAAUUUAAAAAUAUGCUAUCUUUAACCUCAACGUGUAAAAUAUAUUAUUACUUUAAUCUUUUUUUUUUUUUUUUUUGUCUUUCACUAUUAUCAAUGUAUAUAAUUAAAAUAUUUCACUAUUAUCACUAUUACCUUUUGCAAGUUCAAUUUUGGUCCUCGAACUAUUCAAACAUUGCUAUUUUCUAAUGCAAAUUAAUGUUAUUAUAUAACAUUCAAUAAAGAGAAAUAUCGAAUAAGAUAGAUUAAUAAAUAUGUAUUUAUAAUUUUUUUUUUCAAUUGUAAUAAUAUAUUUGUAAUCACUUAUUUUUUUGACUUUCCUUCUUCAAGGAUCUAAUUAAAGUCAAAGAUUUGAAUAAUUGAAUUAUAUAUGGGGAAUCAAGUCACCAAGAACCAAAGAAAUUUUGAAUGAUGAGAAAAAUUUAAAUAUCAAUUAAUUAUUGAAAAAUGUAUCCAUAGGUCCAUAAAUCAAGAGCAUACACGUGUGUAUAAAUGUAGUUUUUUUUCUUUUUCUUUUUUUUCCUUUUGGCCAAAUCAUAUGAAUUAAUUAUGAAGCUAACGUUUCAUAACAAAUUUUCUACUUGUAAUUGAAGCCACCAUAGAUAGUCGAUUGAUAGCUUGACUAAUCAGUAGUUAGGGCAACAUAAAAAGUAGUAUAAUUCAUGAGGAAGACAAGCAAGUGAUAUAGCUGUGUCCACGUGGACCACAAUGAUGAGUCAAUAUGGGCCUCCACCUUGCCUAUUGGUUCCACAUUAACACGACCAUAGCCCAUAGGUGUACAUUUCCAAUUAUUGGUGAUAGAAAUUAAUUAGGAAUAAUCUUAUUAUUCCUAUCCUUUGCUCCAUCAAAAUUCCCACUAAUCUUAUCUUAGCCAACUCAAUUUCCUCGUCAUCAAAUGUCUAGGCUAUAUAUCAUAUAAGUAUGGCCCAUGCAUUCCUCAAAAUGUCUAAUUAUGAUUAGACUUUUCACAUAUAUAUAUAUUAAUUGAGUGGCAUACAAGUUACUUCCAAAGUAAUUAAGGUGGUGCAAGUGCAAGUGGAUAUUUGCCUAUUAGGGUUAAUGGGUAUUAUAGCAUGUGUUCAUGUACAUAAUUACAUAGCAUUUCUUGGCUUUCUUUUUUUUUUUUUUUUUAUUUAGCUCUUUAUUUUAUUUUAUUUUUUACAUUGGAGGCUCUACAGACUGAAAUAAUAUCAUGGACUACUCGUGACUUAAAUUUAAAACUUCUCACUUUCCACAUAUUCUAUAAAAUAUAAAAAAACUAAUUAGAUCAUACUUUAUCGGCGAUUUAGCUCUCACUAUUUUUAUUUUUAUUUUAGAUUAAUUGAAAGCAUGGGUGGAGACAGAAUCUGAAAUUAGGAGGGCAAAACAAUAUAUAUUCUAGUAAAAAGAAGAUUGUGUAAAAAUUAGAUACCUCAAUUAUAUUUUAUAAUCUUAUUAAGUGUCUCAAAUAUAAAAUUUUAUUUUUUAUUUGUAAUUAAAAUUAUACAAGAAUAAAAACUCUCUUUUCCAUCAUAAAGAAACGUUACUUAUCCUUUGAUAUAUAGAACUCAAUUAGCAAGUGUUAAUUAAGUUUAGAAUGAUGGGUUAGAUCACAACAUACGAAUUAUAAUGUAAUUAUAAUAUGGUAGGUAGAAAGUUAAUUCGAAAUAUUACCUUACCAGAAUUUUCUAGUUCUUUUUUAGAAAGCAUCCCAUCUUAUUCUAAAAAAAAAAAAAAAAAAAAAAAAAAAAAAAAGCAAUUCCAAAUAAUUAAACCGACCAAAUGAUUGAGCCUAUAAACCCGAAAGUAAAAUCAUAUUUCUUUCAUCAGGGAACGAAAAUCAAGGGCAGCCUCACAUGUUCCCUUCUUUCAUUUUCUUCUUUGUUAGUUAACAAGUCAAAGUCAAUAAGUAAAUAUUUAUAUAGUCCUGUUGUAAAAUCUAUCAAUAAGAGAUGAAAAUAUAAAAUAAUGCAAGUGUAAAAUAUUAUUAGUGUUUUAACAACGUGAUUAGUCUGAAAAAAUAGCCGUUAACUCUGUCCAAAGAUGUAAUUAAGAGAAGCAAUUAUGCAAUGCAAACACUUACACAAUAUUUGGGUGCUAACCAAUUAAUAUAUCACCGUCAAUUAACAUUUAUACAGUUCUCAAUUUGCUAUUCCAUUGCACGAAUAUAUAAUUCUAAUCUCAAAAUAAUUAUCAAUGACAUAACUUUUUAAAAGUUUAUUAAAGUACAUAGUAUGUUAAAAUAAUUAGAAAUUAUAAUUUUUAAUAAAUAAUUAGAGUUUUUAAACAAGAAAAAUUUAAAUUUGUAAUUUUAGGAAUUAAACUAUAGUAUACUUUAAAAUUUUUUGUCCUCUGUUUGUUUCUUUAAAAUAACUUACAUGAAAAUUACUUGCUGAAAAUUAUUUUUCAUGAAAAACAAUUUUCUUGAAUAAUAUUUUUCAAAUCACUUUUUUUCAGUUGUUUGGUUGUAAUAUUAAAAAUUAGUUAAAAAUAUUAAAACUUUUAUAUCAUGAGACCAUAAAUAUUAAUAUAGAAAUUCUAAAAUUUUAUUGUUGAAUAUGAGAAGAAUACAAAAAAAAAAAAAAAAAAAAAGUAAAUUAUAAAAGUCAGUGGUGGCCCGUGGUGGUGGCUGCCGGUGGCAGGUGGUAGUGGUCGGUGGUAGAUAGUGAAUGGUGGUAGUGACUAUGAUAAUUAAUAAAUUUAAAAAAUAUGAAUUUAUAAAGUUUGUCAAUGUCCGGAAAAUGUUUUAUUCUCUUGAAAAUGAAAAGUUGUGAUCCUUAAAAAAUGAUUUAAUUUUCCUUUUACCGAUAAAAUAUUUUCUGUCGACUUAUUUUUCUGGAUGCCCGAAACAAUAGAAAAUUGUAGAAAAUAUUUUCCUAUAAGUUAUUUUACGGAAACAAAUAGAGCCUAAAAAUUAAUAAAAAGGGACUAUACAAAUGCUUAAAGAAAAAAUCGCUAAGAAAUCGAAACGUAGCUAAAGAUAUGAAUUUUAAUCAUUUUAAGAAUACACGAUAUAUAAAAAAAAAAAUAAGAAUUUUAAACUAAAAUAUGGUACAAAAUAAAAUCUUCAUACCAAUGUAGUUAUAUACAUUUUAGAAAUCCAAAUCUUAUAAUUAAAAAAUUACCACUUUAUUUAAUUUUCAUCCUUAUAUUUUCCAUAAUAUUUAAAUUUAGAAAAGCAAAAAUUUUAAAUUAAUAUUUAUUUUACAUUUUUUUGUAUACAGUCCAAAAGCCUUAGAUAAGGUUUUUUUUUAUUCAAUAUAUAAGGUUUUCUAGUAAAAUAAAGAGUUGGACUCAAAAUGCAAUUAAAAUUUUAACGUCCAAAAUCAAAUUAUGAAAUAAAUUUUUUACAACAAAAUAUUAUUUCUAAAAUAAACUAAUAUUAUAUGUAUUAAUUGACCCUUUCUUUCAUUCCAAGGAAAAAGAAAAAAAAAAAAAAAAAAAGAAAACCCUUAAGAUAAACUCAAAACAGCAUGAUGAUGUCCCAAAUAUAUGGCAUUAAUUAAUCUGAUUGAAUUAAAAAAAAAUUAAACUAAGCAAUCUUGAUUUGCAACCAAUAGCAGCAGGACACAUAAGCAGGCAACGGUUAAAAGGAAUGAGAACGUGAAUCCGAUGUAAAAGAGACGUUGAGAUCCAACUGCCGGCCGUUGCCAUAUGUCCAAACAUUACGGACUGUUAUCAUCUGUCCAUACACGUCAACAUCCUUAGACUUUCUCAACCUUUCCAUUUAUGUUCGGCUUCUAAAUCCAACAGGUAAAAGUUAAUGAGCUCUGGAUUUUGUAUUCUUAUAAAAAUUACCAUACAAAUUAGUAAUAUUUCUUUUUUGAAAGGAAAAUUAGUAAUAUAUAUGAUUAGUGCUAAAAUAGACAUUUUAUGGAUUUAUUUUUAAUCAAAAAUUCAAAUAAUUUAUAAACUCACACCAAAUCUAAUAUCAUUUAAUUUAACCAAAAUUUAUAUAAUUUCUGGGCUGACAUGAUACUUAUAUAGUUAGUAAAAUUAAAUUUAAGUUCAAUUUAUGUACAAAAUUUAAUUUUGACCCUUUUAUAAAAUCUUAAUAAAUUAAUAGGUUUAAGCUCCACUCUUUAAACUUAUUAAAUGAGUUUUUUUUUAAAAUCGAUUUUCAAGUAACUCACGAGUGGUUCGACUCAUUUAUAGUUUUAUUAAUUGAAACUGAUAUUAAUAUUAAAUUAUAUUAAAAAAAUAUUAGCAACAAGGUGGAUCUGGAUGGAAAAGCUCGUAAAAAUUAUAUUUUGGUUCUAUUAUAGCAUUAAAAUUACUAUUCUCACUAAUGUUUGGGUUCUUUGAUUUUUCUUUUUCAUUUAAUGAAAAAGAUGUUUGAGUUGCAAUGUCUCAACGAUAUUCACUUGGGGAAAGACUAAUUGAGGGUAAUUAGGUGGAGCAGCCCGUGAGCCAAGUAAUUUUACACAUAGAUUAAUUAAAUGAAAAGGCAUUUUCCGAUUUGGACACCAAUUUGAAAAAAUCAAUGCCUUCACAUGUUCAUUUAUAAAAACAAUUAGAAAGAGCUUCGGCUUCCUUUGUUUUUCCAAUUGACUUAUUUUACAUCAAAGCAAAGUCUGAAGCUGCAUUUUUCAUACAACACGUGUCUUGAUUUUUGUAAAAUUUCGUGUGUUUCUCAAUUUGAAUGUAAUUUCAAGUUGGAAUAUUUCUUAUUCUAUUAAGUGAAUUAAAAAAUAUUAAUUCUUACUUACAAUGUCUCCUCAAUACGAUUAUAUAUAAUUAAGCCUACUUGAAUUUAACUUAAUAAAAAUAAGAUUAAAAUUCAUUCAUUAAUUAAUAAAAACAAAUCAAACUUGAACAUAAAUUGAAUGUUGAUUACAUUUUGAAAAUUGAAAUUUAUGAUAAAUUUAAGUGCGCAAUUAAAAAGAUAAAUAAUUAAUUUAUCGGUAAAUUACUAUUAUAUCUUUAUAAUUUUAUCAAAAUACAUUCGUCUAUCCCUAUAUUUUUUAAAAUACGUUGAGUUUUCCUCAGAUUUUCCAUCCCUUAUACUAUUUUAUCCUUUCAUCGUUUUUUAUACCAUUAUCUUAUAAUGCAUAGAUAAACUAUAGUUAGUUAAUUUUGGCAAAAUACAGGAAUAAAUUAUCCAAUCAUAGUUCUCCAAAGCGUCGCCAAAAAUGUGCAGCAUUGUAGGGGAACAUUUAGUUAAUAUCCUUAAUACUUAAUAUAUAAAUUUUUAUUUUUAUUUUUUUUUCUCUUCCUAAAAGAGAGAACUAAAGAAAAAAAAAAAAAAAAGUGAAAAUGAUCAGUGAUCACUAAGCUUUAAUUUUAUCGUAAUGAAUGACAAUAAAGCAAUCUCUAUCUUUGCUAAUCUUCUUUGUGUGGAUAUCCAAUGAUUUUAACUUUUUACUAUAAAGCUCCCUUAAAAUAAUAAUAUUAAUAAUAAUAGAAAAAAAAAAUUAAAAAAUAAAAUAAAACAAAGAGAGCCAUUAAUUAACGUUAGCAUACAACUAGGUAAGCAUGGCCACGGUUCCGGAACCGAACCGAAAAGGUCCGGUUCCGGUUUUAGUUUGAAACCGUCCGAUUUCAGUUCCGAUCCGAUUACAAAACCGAUGGUUCCGAUCGGUUUUCCGGCGAAUCGCAUAAUUUUAAAUUUUGAAGACCGGUUUUAAAAAAUAUAUAUAUUUGAACAUAAAAAAUUAAAAGAUACACCUAAAAAAUUAAAAAAUACUUCAAUUAAAUUUGUUUUUUUUAAAGACUUGAACAUAAUUAUUUUUUUAAAAAAAAAUUUUCAACUGAAUUUAUUUUUUGUUUAAAAAAGUUUGAACAUAAUUUUAAAUUUUGAAGACUGGUUUAAAAAAAUAUAUAUUUGAACAUAAAAAAUUAAAAGAUACACCUAAAAAAUUAAAAAAAUACUUCAAUUAAAUUUAUUUUUUUAAAGACUUGAACAUAAUUAAGAGAUUUCACAACAAAAUUUAAAAAAAAAAAAAAACCUGACAGUUUGGCUAGAANNNNNNNNNNNNNNNNNNNNNNNNNNNNNNNNNNNNNNNNNNNNNNNNNNNNNNNNNNNNNCCGGCGGUUCCAGUCCGGUUCCGACCGGUUCUCUGGAACCGCCGGUUCCGGUUCUAGAAAAUUUGGAACCGGAACCAAACCGGAAUUCUCCGGUUCCGGUUAUGGUUCCGGACCGGUUCGAACCGACGGUUCCGGUUCCCGAAACCGUAAUAUGGCCAUCUCUACAACUAGGUGCCAUUAUGAUUGUGUGCUUCGCUUUAUCUUACCUGUCUGUCAACAAAAUUGUAUGAUUCCUUAUGGGCCAUGGAUUGUUCAUACCUCAAGCAAAAGCAUACAAUCAUAAGAAAAAUCCUUAUUAGCGUAUAACUACACAUAUUAUAAAAACUAAUUGUGGUAUCAAUGACUGAUUUUCUUUUAUUUAGUGUUUCUAUUGAUCAGCAAUUACAAAUUAAUGUUUGGUGAAUUUGCUUCUAAUUCCUAGUUUGAAGUGUUGGAUAAAUUUAAAAAAUAAUGAUUAUUAAUUUAAAGGCUAUUUUUUGUUCUAAAAACUGUUAUUUAAAUAUUAUUAAUAUAAUACUUGUCACAUUUGUGAUUUCAUGAAAUAAUAAUUUUUUUUCAUAUUUACCAUUUGUAUAUGAUCAAUAUAUAAAUUAAUAUUAAAUUAAAGGUAAUAUAAUCAAUUUAUUUAAAAUUUAUUAUAACUUAGGUAAAUUUAAUUAAUUUUUUAAAAGAUUUCAAAUUUUAAAUGCAACAAAUAUUAUGAAAUAGAUAUAGUAAGAAAUAAAUUAAUACAACUAAUGACUAGAAUGAAUUAGAAUGUACAUAAUAGAACAAAACGAACGAAUCAAUUUUGUAUAAGAAGAAAUCCAAUGCUAAUAGCCGUUAAAAAAGAGGUUUAAGUGCGAGAAGCUCCCAACAUAAUCACCACCCAAUUACCACACUUUUUCUGCUUUAAGGAGCCGUUGUUCCACGCCCUCUUUCACUCUCCCACACUUGACUCAGUAAUUAUGAUUAAACCAACAAGGUUAAUUAAGGAAAUUCCAAUGCAAUAGCAUCUCACCUCACCACUUACCAAAAUCUCACAAGUGAGAUCCACUCUUUUAUAGCUAUAAAUAUCAACCCUUUCUUUAAACUCUAAGCUCCCUCUCUCUAUCUCCUCCUUAAAAAGCACCCACGCAGACAGCUGCAUUCACUUUUCUCCAUUUUCACUUCUUCUCCUUCCUUUUUAGCACUCAAAGGCUAAACAAACAAAGCCUAGGCCUAGAACUUCUGUUCCUUCGUCCUCUUCUAGAGCUGAGAUAAUAAAGAAACUGAGUUAUAGAAACUUUGCAGGUUUCUUGUAACCACAAUGGUCGACGUCGACCGGAGGAUGACGGGUCUAAACCCGGCUCAUGUAGCUGGUUUGCGCCGUCUUUCUGCUCGAGCUGCCGCUCCAUCAACGGCUACAUCUCUUCCUGUACGUAACGGUCUAGUCUCCUUCUCCUCUCUGGCUGAUAAAGUUGUAACCCAUUUGCGAAACUCGGGUAUCCAAGUUCAACCGGGUUUAUCUGACGCUGAGUUUGCACGGGCUGAAGCUGAGUUUGGUUUCGCUUUUCCUCCCGAUCUUCGCGCCGUACUCUCCGCUGGUUUGCCUGUUGGUCCUGGUUUCCCUGAUUGGCGAUCCGCCGGUGCACGGCUCCAUCUUCGGGCAUCGCUUGAUCUUCCAAUCGCUGCUAUUUCCUUUCAAAUUGCACGCAACACUCUUUGGUCCAAGUCGUGGGGCCCGAGGCCAUCCGACCCCGAAAAAGCAUUAAGAGUGGCGAGAAAUGCACUAAAGAGAGCUCCGCUUUUGAUUCCCAUUUUCAACCAUUGUUACAUUCCUUGUCACCCUUCUUUGGCCGGUAAUCCCAUCUUUUUCGUUGAUGAGAAUCGGAUCUUUUGUUGCGGUUUGGAUCUAUCUGAUUUUUUCGACCGUGAGUCUCUCUUCCGAAGCUCCGAAUCGGACCCUAUACUUCUAAAGAGGCAAAGAUCCGUCAGCGAGAAAUCGGCUGGUUCUUCCACUAAUUAUUCGCGGAGAAGCUUGGAUACGGGUAUAGCAAGCGGGGCAAGAACUCCGAGAUGGGUAGAGUUCUGGACCGACGCAGCCGUCGACCGACGGAGGCGAAAUUCGGCGUCUUCCUCGUCGGAAUCAUCCUCCCCAGAGAGGUUCUUCGAUAUGCCGAGAUCGGAGAUGCCUAAAUGGGCAGAAAACUACAUAGACCAAAUCGGGUCGGUUUUAAGGGAAGGCGGGUGGAGUGAGACGGAUAUAGCCGAUAUAGUCCACGUGUCAGCAUCCGGCUUCUUUGAAGGCGAGAUGGUUUUGGUGGACAAUCAAGCAGUCCUGGAUGCUCUGCUUCUAAAAGCGGAUCGGUUUUCGGAUUCACUUCGAAAAGCCGGGUGGAGCUCCGAGGAAGUUUCGGAUGCAUUAGGAUUUGAUUUUCGACCUGAGAAAGAAAGGAAACCGGCUAAGAAACUGUCACCUGGGCUAGUUGAGAAAAUCGGGAAAUUGGCAGAGUCGGUUUCCCGGUCAUAAAGGCAGCAUCGAGAUAUUUUUUUUAAUUUCUUUUUUUAAAGCCUCGGUUGGGUUUUCCCUUUUUUUGAAUAGUAAAAAUUGAAAAUAUAUGGGGAGACGUGUUGUACGAUGAAACAAAGCGUAUAAAAGAUUUAAAAAAAAAAGGAAAGAGAGUUCAAAUUACAUUAUUGUUCAUAUUUAUAAAUAAUUAAAUGAGGCAUCAUAAUUAUUAUAUUUUCUCUUUUAUUUUAUUUUUUAAUUUUCUACCACUUUAACGAUUUUAUGAAAAUACAAUACGUUCUUUAAUUUCAUUUUUAACACAUUAAUUAAGUGGCUACAGCUCAUAUUGUUAAUACUUGAUCACUAUGUCAUAAUAAUAAUUUGUUAUAAUCGAGCUUAACUGGCUCACCUUUUUAAAAUAACCAACGCACGUGUGCAUCUUUUUGAAUAAAGAGCACCGUUGUUGGGUCCCUUGUUUGUAUAUUCGGGCAGCCUAUUUACCAUUUUCAAGGCAAGGAUGAACAAACGUCGUCGUCUUAACAAGGAAAGUGUCGUUUUUCUAUGGUUGUGUAGUUAGACUUCAGCCUUUAGCUUUCGUUUCCUUUCUAUUUCCAGUUGUGCAGUUUCUGGGGAAAGGAAAGGAAAAAUCCCCAGUGAUGUUGAUUGAUAAGGGCCAGUGGCAAAGAAGAGAAAAAAUUUAGAUUAUCUUCUUUUGAGAGAUAGGAAUAUAUUUUGUUUUUAUCUUAAAAAGAAAAAAAAAAACAGAGCAACUAAUAAUUUUUUUUUGAAGGUGGUCAUUGGAAUUUGAGAUAAAGAUAUUGGGUUUGCAGAGCGAAACCUGACAGAGGAAAACUUCUCACCGUUUAGCUUUUAAGGGACACAACAACGAGGUGCUUGUUUUCUAUUAUUGUAAUUUCUGUGUUAAGGGAGUGGGAAAGUGGAUUUGAAAUCCAUAUCCAAAUUUGGGAUAGGAAUUGUUGGCAAAUUUGUGUAAUUUGAUUGAAAAAUAAUGGGCAUUCUUGGAAUGUAGUGUAAAUAAAUGAAGGGUAGGGACCAUGUGAUCGUAGGGUCCUCAACGAAGUUGGUCGUACAUUGAGAUGGGAUAGUUAGGGGAGGCAAAGGUGGGACUCCCAUGGUGUUAUUGAGGCUUUUUCACAAUAUUCACACUCUCAUUCAAUCUUUUGUUAGGUCUAGGAUCCAUCUCGCACAUUUAAGAAAAUUAAUUAAUUUUUAAAAUAAUAAAAUUUCAAAAGUGCUUUUCUUUAAUUUGAUUUUAACUGAAAAUUCAAAUUUGAGACAUACUAAUUAAAAAAAAAAAGAUAUUUUUUAAAUCGACAUGCAAUUUCGAAAAGCUUGGAAAAUUAAGAUAUAUAAUUAUUUUUUUCAAAUCAUGAUUUGUUGAUUCUGACACAAAAAAACAAAAAAAAAGGCGGAAAUAUACAAAUAAUGAAGAGGGAAGGAAAAGCAGAGAUAAUGAAGUAGUACCACUUGGGUUUUGGUUUGUCAAUGCUCAUUUUGUAACAUUUGGGGAAGCAUCUGUUGUGGGUCCACAUGUGGAGAAACGUGAAGAAGAGUGUACGGUAAGAGGCCAAAAUAAAUAAAUAAAUAAACAAUAUAUAUUUGGGUUUGGGUCAUGAAAAUUGGAAAAUUACUGACUUAGUUUGAUCUUUUCAGAAGGCUUCAUUCAGUGAAUUAUUAGGGUUUCAUUUUGCUUUGGAAGUGUAUAUUUUAGCUUUGGAUCGUUUCAAUGGCUUCCUUUUUUUGGUUUUUUGAUUCAACAAAAGUUCAUUCUCAUCACUAUUCAUUGUGCUUAAAGCCAUUUUACUGCGUGAAUCAAUGGAAUUUUCAUUCUAGCCUUUACCACUAAUUUUGGCUCACAAAUUAUUAUAAAUCCCAAAUAUUUUGACCAUGGGAAUCCAAAGGAGGAGAGAAUUAAGUUUUGCUUGGUAACCGCAUUUAAUGUAAUGUUUAGUAUUUUAAUCUCGUCAAAAUAUUAUCUCUAUUAUUUAUAGUUUACGAUGACAUAACUUUUAAGUUGAAUGAAAUGGUAGUAAAACAACUCACAGCUACUAAAAUAACUAAUAACUAUUUAGGAUUUCGUUGCGCAGAUUUUAGCAUUUCAUCAGUCGAUUCAAAUUUUAAUUUUUAGUAACUAAUUAAUGAGUUCAUUUUUAUAUCCACGAAUCAAAUCUCAACUAGAUUUGUACUUAUUUUGGUAUUAAGUGAUAGAGAUGAUAUGAAUAAUAGUAUACAUACGGUGAAAGACAAAUCAUGUAGUAAUACACAUAUGCUAGAAAGGAUUGUUUGCUGGAAAUUCCUUAUCAUCCACCAAAUGCUGACCAAGAUUAUAUGAACUUUGCAACUUCCAAGUGGUUAUGAGGCUAUAAGCUCAACAACCCUUAAAAUAAACAACAAAUAAAAAUCACACCACCAACUUUUUGGAUCAAAAAAAUUUUUUUUUUUCAGGAUCAAACCAUUCUAAUUAAUCAGUCUUGGAUGCUACAUGGGAAAGUUUCCAUCUUAAAAAACAAUAAUUGGUCAAUUAGAAUUGACAAAAACAUAAUAUUAUGAAAAGAAUAAAUCAAAUCAUAUUAACUCCCAAGACUGGACUAGUAAAAAGGUUUCCAGCAUCCCAUGCAUUGGUAAUUAAUGCUCCAACGGUCACUGCCACCACCACCGCCACACCUGAAGGUGACAGUUACACGUCACGUGCAAACCCCACCGUCAUUUCACAUUCAUCACGUGCUACCCAAUCUCUUGAAAAACCAUAUGUAUGUAUUAAUUAAAUAAACGUAUACUAUAAGAAAGCAAUGAAAUGAAACCAUAUAUAUGAAGUCAUGUGUGAAAAAUGGACCUUCACUCUUGGACUUUUAAUAUGGGCAUGGGCUCACCUCUUCUCUACCAUCUUACUGUUUCCGGAUCCGAAGACAACUCAUGGGGCCUACAUUUCAAAUAGGAUGUUUUAGAAAACCAUAAAUUGAAUCUAUGUCCCUUAUUGGUUAAUAAUUCAACGGUCACAGCCGAGUCUAUGUUGAACUUAUUAAAAUGAAUAUUCUGAGUUCAAAUGAGAUUGAGCUCCAACUCGUCUUAUUUAUCAAAAUAAUAUCAGUUUACAUAUUUUUAAUUUAUUAAGAAAAAAUUUUAAUUUUUAAAAAAUAUCAAGGAAGAAAAUUAAAUUUUGUGCAUUUUGUGGUGAUGGGAAGUGGUGGUGAAGGACUAUCAUGCCCUUAGAAGGGUCACAAAAAUUGGAAAAUAAGUGUUUGUUUUGUCAUAUUAAGGGAGACAAUAGUAGCACUUGGUGUGUAUUUUCUAUGGUAGAUAAAGGUUAAUAUGAUUCAAGAUCUCAAGUUUGGAGCCUGUCAAGAAAAAAAAAAAAAAAAUUGAAUGGUGACCCCAAAUUGACAUGGGAAGGAAGUAAGGUGCCUUGGACUAUAGCUUUUAAUAUUAUUAUGAAUUGCUUGUUACAUUAUUGAAGGGUAGAGAUAUUAAAAUUGUCAAUACAAUGUGGUGGUGACCAAGAAUCUUUGGUCCCCCUCUUUAUCCCUCUCUCAAGGCAUGAAAAUUUGACAGUAGCUCAAUAAUUGGUGCUAAACUUAUCAUUUAUGGGUUGUGCGCAGUGCAGGCUGAAAUGGGCUAAGGUAGGCAUAUUUCAGCUUUAGACGAAAACCUUGACCUGCACAUUUUCUGAAACCUCUAUCUGUUUCUACUUCAGCAAUUUUCUGUUUCUACCUCUAUCAUGCCUUAUCUUUUGGUCUUAUAGUUGAUUAGAUUCGAUCUCAAUUUAAUCCAAUCUUGCUGUGAUUUUUUUUUUUUUUUUUUUUUUGUUUUGAAAAUUAAUAUUCUUUUACAGAACAUUGGUACUAAACCCUAAAUAUUAGGACUCUCAUCAGGUCCACUUCUUAUGGGUUAUACCCAGGUUUGGAUUUGAUGGACGUUUAAAAAGAGAAGAAAAAUAAAAAGAAACCUUUUCUUCUUAACAAUCUUGUAUUGGUGAUUCUUUGAAUUUUUGGUAAUUACAUUACAUGUUUCAGGUUUCACUGAAAAAAUUGUACAUGUUUUGCUAGUUCUGUGUAAUGCUAUGUACCCAUAAAUCUGCAGAUUUACAAUUCUUCACUGCUUUAAAUAAAUGCUGCACAAAACCUUCCUUUGUGACUUGAAAAAAAUGACAUGCAGAUGAUCAUACUGAUUGAAGAAUUUCACUUCCUUCCUUCUCUUUAAUCCUCGAAGGAGAUUUCAUCACCUUAACUCGAAAUUUCGCCUGCACAUGGAAAGCUCAAAUUGGUUUCAUUUUAAUUCUCAAAACUCAUUCUGAAAACAUAAUGAACAUUGCUAUUAUGCCAGAGUGGUGAUAGUAGAGAAAAAAAUAAAUCAAGGAAACUAAUCAAACUUCACAAGGAAAAAUUAAAGAGUCCAAAUUUAAGUUCACGAACUAAACUUCAGUUGCUAAGAUUAUGUUUAUCACCUUCUCAUCUGAACCAAACUCAAUCACGUCUGAUGGAUGAAACCGGGUAGGGGAGUUCUGAGGGACUCUAUACCGCCUUCCAUCAGCACUUCAAUGUCAAGAGAUUAUAAUCAUUAGAGAAGAAUUCCAUAUCAAUAUAUGAAGUAAUGGAGAAAUGUGUAUCCUAAUUCCCACAACUUACUCUGAUAUAUAUGUGCCAUGUUCGCUCUGCAAAUCAAUUACAUAAAAAGCACCAUCUUUGUAGCUAAUACGAGCAUGCAUUUCGGAUACCUAUUGAAAUAAAAUGUUAAAAGAAGUGAACUCCUUGAUCUCCACGCCAUAAUUAUAAGGUUUAUUCCAAAGCAAAGACAUUAAAUAUACCAACUUAGACAACAAUAUUACCUGUGGUGAGGGUAUGACUAUAGACAUUCCAGGGAAAUCUUUAUGUGAUACCUUCCUGGUAUUACCAAUAACACAUUAAGAGAAGUGUUAAACAAUAUAGUACGAGUUAUGACUCAUUAUUCAAUCUAAAAUUACAUACCCAACAACACAGGGUGUGUUCUCAUUCCUGCUUAAACAGAUAGGUUCUGAAACAACCACCUUAUUUCCCAACGGUAAAAGAAACCACCUACAAAAGAAAAAAGAUAGUUUUAGAAUAAAUUGGAAAAAAAAUGAGGAAGGGAGACAAGGAACAGUUCGAGUGAAGCAUAUGCAGAGUUUGAAACCAAAUACAUUCACUGUCACAAGAACACAAAACAUACUCUGCAUUGAGAGCACGUUCUAGCGCAUCAUCAUCUUCAAACCAUGUCCGUAAUUGGUCACUAGCCUGGACAAAUUUUCAAGCACAUGGGAGAUCCAGAACAUAUCAGAGUCUUGCAGUUUUCAAUGUAAAAUGCAAUGAGCAACAUUGGAAAAUAUAGACAAUGUGAAGAAAGCAACAUACUUUGUCUGAAAGUCUGCAACAUUGAGAUCUCCCUUCAAGUUUUGAACUGCAAGAAAAAAAUCAGAUAUUUUUGAAUUAGAGAAAAUAAACAAUACUUGAGUCAGUACUUCCUUACUUUUCUCAUUUUUUAACUUCAACAUAGAUCUUAUGAAUUUAUUUUACUACGUGAAAAUGUUUCAUGGAAUAAACUGCAUCAUACUUUCUUUCUCACUUUCAAUGAUUAAAGGCACUUUCUGGUAUCGAGAACUUGCCUUCAGUAUCAUUGCAUAAAUGAUUGAACCUUAACGUUCUAGAAAAGAAAGUACUCACUAAACUCUCCAUCAUUCCCAGUAAAAUCAGAAUAGGAAUGAUUGAGAACCCUUUCCUUAAAUGUGAUUUCAGUUACAUUAUAAGCUUGUGCAUAUAAAAAAAAAUGCCCGAAUGCAUAUAUAAAUUUUCUGAUAAUGGUGUUCCAAUAACACGAGGUUUCCUAUUAAAUGUGAAAACUAUUAAGGAGAAGGAAACAAGAUUCCAAAGAUCUAACCUGUUGCCACCUAACACCCAACUGAGCAUUACAGGCAUUGCUAUGUCAAUAAAAAACCUCCCACCAACUCUUCCAGGAUGUGGUAUUCGAUACUUGGUCAAGAACUGAGAGCCAUAUCAAAAGGUGAGUUGUCAUGAUUAUGUAUGAAUAAAUUUAUACUGUUUUAUUUUAUUCCUUCUAUUCAGGUGUUAAUAUGUCCAUUCAAGAGAGAUGCCUACCGACAAUGGACCAAGGCCUACACCCAAAUAAGCCUUGUAAGUUGAGGCCAUAAUCGCAGCCAUUCUUGCCAUUCCAUGGAUGAUGGCAACUCGAAGUCUUCUGGCUCUCUCGUAGCUGCAAAGAAAAUUUGGAAGCAUUAAUCUAUUAAGUAUACUUGAUUAAAAUGAAAUAAAUAAAGGAUCAAAACUACAAGCUCAGGCUAACUAGAAAGAUAGUCAAAUGCCAUAUCCUAAUAAUGAAGAGAUUCAUACAGUGAAAUGUAAUUGUCCAGAGCUACAGAGUACACAUCGCUUCACAUAAGACAAAAAUUAUUUGUUGUUCAUACAGAUGCUUUACUUGCAAGAAUAAAAUCAUACAUAUAUUAGAGAAAUAAUAACAAAAUAAUGAGAAAAAUUUGGAUAUCAUGACCAAUUCCCUCUAAACGCUCAUAUUUUAAAAAUGAAUAAAUCUUAACCAAUGGAUAAGCUUUAACAAGAACACUUGUUAACUUGGUAAUGCUCACCACUCCACUCCCUUAAACAGACAUGCAGAUCAAUAUGCUUUAAGCUAAGUGGCUUAUCCUUUUGGUUAUCACAUGAGAUUAAUUCCAUUCAAGUCAACAAAAAAAAAAAAGGCUUCCCUUAUCUCAAUGUUGCGGACAGUUAAGAGGCAUCCCACAUCAAGUGGUUAAUGUGUCAGCACAUCAAAUGGUUAAUCCCUCAAAAACUUAUCUUAUCUUCUUUUAGAUUAUUUGGCAAGAAACAAAUACUUUACCUUUUUAGAGACGAAACAAUAUCAAUGGGGGUUCCUGAUUCAAUGCUUUGUUUCCAUGCCUUCUCAAUCUCUAGUGCAAGUUGAUAACCAUCCUGUCAUAGCGAAAUACAGUUUUUCUUGAGCUUUAACUUUUCCAUCAGGUGAGUUUUUGCUGUCUUUAGCCAUACGACCAUUUGAGCAUCAUAACUUUAUUAAGGCACAUGUUAUCACUCAUUUAUUUAUAUUAUAAUUUGAAUUGUAAGAGGUGUAGCAAAUUAAAUAAUUAAUUUUAAAACAAAUGACAGAACUUGAAAAUUUAGGAAGCAUAAAAGGAUAGAUAGGAGUACUAUAUGUUAAUUACAAGACCAUGACCCUAGGCCAUCCUUAAUAUGUAGGAUAAAAACCAUAAUACAGAACCACUCCAAAUUUCAAAUGCUCUAAUAGAAAGUAGGGGUUUACCUCAAUGGCCAUACAGCCACCUUGACCCAUAUUUGGCUGCAUUGCGUGGACUGAAUCCCCAAGCAAGGUCACACGACCCCUACCCCAUGUUAAUGUGGGUGUCCUGUCAUAUAUGUCACGUCGAAGAAUGGCGUCUUCGUCUGUUGCAAGCAGCAAAUCAAUUACAUUAUCACACCAACCCUCAAAUAUUUUCAACAGCCUUUCCUUUUUACCUGCGAAAAAAUUGGAAGUUGGUAAUAUUAUUGUCAUUACCAUUUUAAUCUCUGUCAAUCAAAUUGAGUAUUCCGUACAAGUGCUAUUAACAGUGAAUAUUUUCAAAAGUGUUUCAAAAUUUGAUAUAAAAUAUAAAGAAAUAAAUGUGCCUCGAAGGCAUUUAGAAGUCCAAUGCCCCUCAAGCUGUUGUUAUGAAUAGAGAAACCAUGUCAUACAAUUAACAUAUGAAGAAAAUAAUUUCUCUCACAUCAUUGCAUCUGAAAGAACAGAACUUUAUCGCACUAACAUGCUUGUUUCCUAUAUUGGUUGCUUCACCAUGCCAAGCACAUGUUUAAUUCAUCCUUUCAGUUUAAGACUUCUUGGUUACUUGCUUAGGAUUAGUCAGAUGCAAUUGUAUCUUGCGAAUAAAUAGGAAUUAUUUUAUAAUUACUUCUAAACAACCAAAUCAUUGAAAUUUCAAUUUCAUGAUCACAAAAACUAAUAACAUAAAAUUCUGAGCCUCACAGCUAUUUUAUAUAAUGUUCUUUAGAGAGAAUAUACUGAAUCAAGAGUAUCUACCAUUGGGCCUAUCCACACCCCCGGGUGGUUCCUUGUGAAAUGCAUACCACUGCAUCUUUCCAGCACCCACGUCCGAAGAAACAAAGUACUGCUUAUGACCCAAAAAUACUCGAUACCUUCAGAAGAAAAGUUUCAUUAUCAGCAUCUAUACAUUAUUCAAUCCAAUGAAUAAGAACAGGACAUAAUGAAUUUGAACAAGUCAUCCUUCAGCUAAAGACAAUUAGUGGUGGCAGAAAUUUUGUAGCAUAAUGGAAUGAAGCAUACCCAACAGACUCAAUAUCCGCAGGCACAAAAUCUGCAAUGCCAGUAUAACAAGUAUAGUCUGAGUAUGUGGCGUCCUUUGGCCCAAAUAAGUUCUUCCUCACCUAUGAACCAGAUAAAGUCAUAUGAGAUCUUCAAAAUCGCACCAUAAUUCAUAUUUUUGGUACAUGAUGGCCGUGCACUAGAAGCAAAAGUUUCACAAGCAUUUGCUGAGAUCAUUUACAAGGAAAUUGAAGUGCUUCUUUUUGAAUUAUUUUUUUAAAGAGAACAAUAUGGAAGCUUUUGAUGGUUGUACCUUUGACCAUAUUCCAUCAGCACCAACUAGGAGAUCACCUUCGAAAUGCUGUCCAUUCUCAAGGGUCACAGUGACCUAAACUUGCAAAGUGCAAAAUACAGUUGAAUAAAUGCCACUACUGAAGUUAACAAAAGCCUAUAAUGCAACAAACCAGUAAAUCAAAUGAUUUUCAGUAAGACAAAAUAUUUACCCAAAAAAGCUUUUUUUUUUUUUUUUUCUCCUUUUAUGCAUUCUGUGUGAGAAGUUGAAUUUAGAAGAGACAAUUUUCACAGCAGCUCAUAUUACCUUAUCCCCAUCAUCCUGAAAACUAACAACAUUACUUUCAUUUCGAAUCACAUCUUCUCCAACUGCAAGAGCAAGGAUUUGUUGCAAAGUCAUUCGGCUAAUAACUCUCGUGACUGGAAGCCCUCGUUCUGCUGCAGGAGUGAAGGUAUCAAACUUGACAUACCUGAUAACCAACUAUAUAUCAUUCAAUGUGAUUGGAGACUAACAAUUUGUCCAGGAAAGCCAGCCAAAAAAAAAAAAAAGAUAUUCUAAAGUUCAUAUGAUUUUGAUUAUUAGACUAGACAGUUUUUCGUAUUUCUAACCUGGGGAGGAGUAAUCAUCAACCUGGUGAGCAUUGACUUAGUAACUACUCGGAAUCAACAGAAAAGGUUGAAACUUUCUAUAUGCGAACUAUUUGAUUUUGGCUUGGCUCAAAUAUAAAAAAAAAAAAAGAAAUAAAAAAAAAUAGACAAAUGAUCCUUCUAGAUACUCUUGUAGAUGAGCAAAAUCUUACUAAUAUCUAACGCUGAUCAAAUGUUUUAUUCUUCUUUUUAUAAGCACAACAUCAUCAACCUUUGCCAUAAACAGUUAUGAGAUACCACUCAACAGACAUGAACUAGAAUUAAAAACUAAAAGCUACAUCUAAAAAUUGGUUGUCUUCGAAGCAGCCGAAAUUAGUGCUGCAUACCAUACCCAUGCGAUUAGCUUCAAAUAAGAACCAACAAAAUAAUUGCAUCAGUGACAAGAAUCAAGAUCCAAUAAUUUUGUCAAGUUCUGUUGACAUACACCUCAACAACUACCACGCUUAAAAUUUUUUUAAUAAAUAAUUUUUCUUUUGUCCAUUAAAGCAAUCAAAAACUGUAGACCAAAUAUCAUGGACUAAAUAGGAAUGAAAUUAAAUCUUAAAAAUAAAUACAAACAAACUUUCAGAAAACAUACCAAGUACCAGAAACCCCAUCAACAAGCCCGUUAAUUCUAUCACCAGUAAUACACCCGGCUUCCAUAACCUCUUCAGCGACCUCUAAAUCAAUAGCUUCUAGAGCUGCUAAUGCAUUACUUUGUAUCUGAAUUGGACCCCUAUAUUGCCCUUCUCCUCUGACUGCGCUCAAAUCCUUCUCAAAAACUAACACCUCAAAACCCUUCCUCUUAGCUGCCAGUGCAAAAACCAAUCCUCCAAUCCCACCCCCAGCAACAAGAAUCCGCGGUUUCCUUUGCUCUGGCUGCUUCUCAUCCGAUUGAGCCACAGAAGUUGACUCAGUAACUACAGCUUUCACUUGUGUCAAUUUCUUGUUCUGCUCACUCUUCUUGCUUCUGAAGUGGAAGUUACAGUGUGCAGAAGAUGAUAAUUCCAUUGAAGAGCUACUAACUAUUGGAAAUGGAAGAUGGGUUCUUGAAAAAACUGAAAUUGAAGGGUUAAUUAAGUUGCAGAACAAAGUUGAAGAUGCCAUGAUUUCCUGAAAAGAAAGGAAAAAGGAACUAAAAAAUGAACUAAAUUUCUUGUUUCUUGAUUUAGAAAGUUUCUUUGUUACUGGUGUUUGGUUUACCGGUUUAGAACUUUAGUUUCAAGUUAAAAUCAAAUGGCUGUGAUUAUGGUCCACUUACUGCAGAGAGGGAAAGCAAAAUAGAUACAAUAAAUCCAAAAUUAACGAAUCUGAAUCAAGAAAUUAGGAACACCAGUUUGGCGCAGGCUUAAAUCCAUGUGGCACUUCAACAUGAAAAAUCUUGGACACGCGUUCAUGUUUCUGUGGUCCUUGGCUUACCACUUACCACCACCACCACAUUGCGUUCGGCGUACUGGUGGACUGAGCAGGACUUGGAAUAAUUAGUUAUUUUAGAUUUUAUAUAAAUAAAAUAUUAGUACAAAACUUUUCUGAAAUAUUCUACAUAUUAACUUUUUUUUUUUUUAUAUAAGAAGAUUAAAAAACUAAAUAACUUCAUUAAAUAGUUCUCAUAUACUUGUACAACUCAGUGUUUUUAUUUUUCUUUUUAUUAAUAUGUAAUUUCAUGAACUAUUAUAAAAUAAAUUCUUAAUUAUUUUUUUAUGAUAUUCAUUAUCAGAGUUUAAUUAUGCUGAACAUAAUGUUUUUAUUUUAUAUUUUUAAUUUGUAAAAUUAAUUCGUAUUUUUGUGGUGUAAAUAACGUAAUUAUAUAUGUACACAUAAUAAAAUAGAAUUAUUUAUUUUUGACUUAAAAAUAGAAUUAUCUAUUUGCAAUGUGGACGAAAAACAUAAACAUAACAUAAGAGCGUAGCGUGGUCUGCCAAAUACAAUUAAUAUAUCUCUGUCUUUUAAGAAAUACAUUAAAAUAUCUUUAUAUUUUACUUUUACCAGGUUGUGAGGUCAUUUCGUAUAAUUUUUACAUCUUUUUAGUUAAAUAAUUUAUAAAAUGAUGAAAAUAUUUUUUUAUUUUUAAAAAUACAAUGAUAAAUUAGUUGUAUUUUUUAAACCAUAUAAACAACAGUGUAAUUUUUGUCUCACCUACUCCCAUUUAGUGAUAGAGACAAACAUAAACCAUAUUUGCCUAAAAUAUUAUCCGAUUUAUAUGCUAAUGGUAAUAAAAUAAUAAUGCAAUAUAAUAUAAUGACGUGUUACCCCAAACUUGGCCUCCUUAAUUUCCGAUGCGAAGGUUAGUGUUGGGAGUCGAGAGUUGGCUUUUGGAAAAUAUAAUAUUAAGUCCUUCGGAUUAACUAUGAAUUUUUAAAGCUCUGCUCUCAUCUCUUAUUAAACAAACAAAAACCUUAUCACUCUUAUACUAUUUUAUGGUUUGGAAAACAUAAUUCUUGAUUUUCUUUUUUCAAAAAAAAAAAAAAAAAAAAGGUUCUUGAAAGUGAGGAGGAAAUAUCUUUAAAAUAAUAAUAAUAAUAAUAAUAAAAGUUGGAGAAUGCUAGUAUUUGAGUUGAGAUUGGUAAGCACUCCACUAUACUUCAAUGGAGUUGAUUAAAGAGCUUUCCUUGUUUUUCUCCAACGAGUAAAAUGUUUUUUUUCCUUUUUAAGAAGACAAAUAAAAGAACGAUUUUUUAAAGCCCAUAGUUUUCACUUAGUAGACAAUUUAUUUGGUACCAAAUAAUAAUAAUUACUACUAUUAAUUUCCUAUGAGUAGAGUUAUUUAUUUAUGUAAUUUUCGCAAAAUAAAUUAUCGGGUCGAGAGAAAAAAAAGAGUAAAUAAUGACUUUGUAUUCAAAAUAAAUGCAUUCAACCUAUGGAUUGUAGCUCAGUUGUGAAUGCAGACUGAAUAUGUGGAAAAAGCUCUUGUGUGUGAAAAGUCUUAACUGUGACUAAAUCCGGAUUACGGUUCUUGAUAAGUUGCACAAAACAAAAUACAUAAAUGAAAUUUUCACUGCGAAAUACAUUUAAAAAUUAGUUAAUUUUUUUUAAAGAAUCAAAGAAAAAAAGACACAACUAAUUAAAAAUUUUGAUUUCUCAAAGAAAACUAACUCCAUAGAAAUCGAUCAUAAAAGAUUGAGGUCCAAAUCAAUAAAAGGAAGAACGAAGUCACCAUUUAAAAUCCAUAGCCGAACUAAAAUAAGAGAAUGAAUCACCGAAACUAAGGGAGGGAAAUAAAAGAAUUCUUGUAGUUAAAUAAAUAAAAUAUCGGUAUUUGCUUUCAACUUCAACUUAUUAUUAAUUUCAAUAAAUAAAGAAUUAUUUUGAUAAUUCUUUGGACCACAAUUAAUUUAUCACAAACCAACAAUUAUCUUCACAAAUUCAAGUAUGUGGAUGGACGUUGAUGUUUGGUCGUUUUAUUAAUAUAUAUUAAACUCAAAUAUCUUCACUUAAUAAUCCAAAAAAGCUUAAUUUUAGAUUUAUAAGGAGAUAAUUUUUUCUUUUUAAAAAAAUAUUUAAGUUAAAAAAGCUACCAUAAUAUUAAUUUUAGUCUCAUGCUCCAUAAUUUAUUUUAAUAAAGGGAUAACUGGAGGUAGCAUUUGUCAUGAAAUUUUUGUUAUUUCCUUUUUUUUUUUUUUCUCAAGGUAUCAACAUAUAUUAAUAUAUUUUAUUAUAUAUGCAAAAUUAGAGAUUUGAUAUAUGUAGUUAUUAUCGUUAUCAAAAAAAAUUUUAAUUGAAUAUCACUCUAGGUCAAGACAUAAUUAAGAAAAGUCAAAUUAUAAAAGUGGGGUUUAUAUUUUGAAAGAAAAACCAUUGACCUUCAAAUGAGGAUAUGAGAGAAAAGAUAUAUACAUUAAAAGACCUAGAACAAAGAGAAAACAAAUAAAUUAUAUAUAACAAGAACACAAUUACUAAUUUGAGAUUAAGGUGUAUAGCUUGUGUUUACUUAACAGUUUUCUUGUUUGCUAUUUUAUAUUUUCUAAGAAAACAGAUUUCUUAGAAAAUGAAAAAUUAGAAAACAGAAAAUAUAAAAUGCAUUCACUUGGUAACAAUAAAAAAUUUUAUUUUAAUUUAACUUCAUAAACAUUAUUUAUAACUUUCAUAAUUAAAAGAAAUAAAAUAUUGUAAAAAAAUUUUUUUACAUAAAAAAUUUUGAAUUUUUAUUAUUGAUUAUUUACAAUAAUAAUAUCAUUUUUUAUUAUUUUGUAAAUUUCUUUAAAAAUAAAAUAUAUAAUGUAUUUGUAAUAAUAAAAUUAUUUAUUUAUUAAAGAAUAAUAUAAAUUUUUACUUUAAAAAAAAUGAGAAACAGUUGGAAAAUAUGUUUUUUUUAUAAAGAAAAACACUGGAAUAUAAUUAAAAAUUUUUUUUCAAAUCUUAGUUAAACUGUGGAAUAUUGAAAAAUCUACGGAUUUGAACAUAAAAUUCUAUUUUAUAAAUAUCUUCAAAAAUUUUUCUUGAAAAUUACUUCAGUUUUCAACGACCUAACACAUCUAUAGUUUUUGUUGCAGUACAGUUUAUACACAGACGAUCUUGAAUUAAAAGAUCGAAAAUGAAACAAGAACUCCUUGAAAUUGCUGCUAAGAAAUAAACGAUGGAGUGAUCAAUUAAAGCUUGAAGAUGGCUUUGGCUAAUAUAUAGAAUCUGAAAGAGCAAAACAGACAUUAAUUAGACUUCAUUUUACAAAUUUUCUGAAAUAAUUUUCUAAAACGACAAUAACCAAACAAUUUCACAGUAGUAACCUUGAACUUUCCAUGACGCGUGAAUCAAGUCCACGGUAGCCACUAAUUCAAGUCAAGCAACAGUCAACAACGAAAAACCCAGAACCAGAACAGAACCCUUUAAUUUGAUUGCAAACAAGCAAAGCACAAAAACAACAUUGAAUUUCAAUCUGUUGUUCAUUUUCUUUUCCAUCAAAAUUUCCUCUUCAACUCCCACAGCCUUUAUAAAUGGGUAAAACCAUCUCAGUGGACGAGUCUUCAGUUUACGGUCGGAAUGAUGAUAAGGAAGCCAUAAUAGAGAAUCUACUAUCAGCAGAUGAAAAUGGCUUAGAAGUAAUCUCCAUUAUAGGUAUGGGUGGAAUUGGUAAAACCCUUUUCACUAAACUUGUUUAUAGUGACAUUAGAGUUCAGAACUGGUUCGAUAUCACAGUAUGGGUAUGUGCAGCAGCCAAAUUUGAUAUUUUCAAGAUAGCAAAAGAUAUUCUUGAAGAAGUCAGUGCAAAGUCCUGCGAUUUCAAGAGCCCAAUACCAAAUCGAGAAAUUCUACCUGCAUUAAAAGGAAGAUUGAUGGGUAAAAAAUUUCUUCUGGUUCUAGACGAUGUUUGGAAUGAUAAUGAGUUUGAAUGGAGUUUCUUGUUAGACCAUUUAGAAUCUGCUGGUGCAGGAGGAAGUAAAAUUAUUAUCACAACUCGCAAUCAAAGUGUAGUGUUAGCAUUAGGUUCUAGUCAAUCUCAUUUUCUUGGUCAACUAAAUGAUGAUGACUGUUGGUCUUUGUUUGCUAAGCAUGCUUUUUAUGAUGAUUGUUCUUGCAAUGAAAAUUAUUUAGGUUUGGAGAUUAUUGGCAGAGAAAUUGUGAAGAAGUGUCAAGGUUUACCUUUAAUUGCCAAAAUGCUUGGAGAUCUUUUGUGCUCUGAAAGAAAUGUUGAAGUAUGGCAAAGGAUAUCAAAUAAUAUGGAAGUUCGUUCCCACUACAACAUUUGUAUGAUUCUAAAGUUAAGCCAUGUUGAUCUCUUGUUUCAUUUAAGGCAAUGUCUUGCUUUUGGUAUUAAAUGUCCAAAGGAUUAUACUUUAGUGAAAGAGAAAUUAGUACUUUCAUGGAUCCAAGAAAAUUUAGUACGAUUUAACAAAACUGUAGAAAAAGAAGAGGUAGAUAACAAUUUUUUUUUUACUAAUCUUGAAUCGAGAGAUAAUAUUAUUCAUGACAUAGCAAUAUCAUCGGUCUCUGAAAAUUUUCUCCAGUGCUCGAUUUCUCAAAUAUAUAUUGAGGUAUAAGACAACAGAAAUGUUUUUGUUGUAAUUAGUUUCAAAAAGUUUAAAGCUUUCAAUAUUAAUUGAAUCCAAUUUAACACUCAUCCUUUCUCUCUUUGAAGGCUAUUUUGGAAUGGGCAAUCACAGGCAUAUACCUUGUCCUAGAGAUUUUAUUGGUGACUCUGGAACAAAUUGGCUCUCCAAAAAGGCCUCGCUGUGCCUUCUAUGCUUUGGUGGUAUCUUUCGUAGCCCUGUUUAUUUGCAUUGUAGAGAUUGUUUGUAAGGGACAAAAACAGAACAUUGAUCUGAGAAGGCAAGGUAUUGGCUAUUGGCUUCGUUUUCCAUCUUCAAAUCACAACCCAUACACUUAUAUUGAUAUUUUCAGCUUGGUUAGUGCCAUUUCUCAAGUUAUUUUCUCGUGUAUAGCUUAUAGUUAUCUACGUAGAGGUGCUCAGAAUCCAAUCAAAAUGUGUUUUGUGCCUGUCAUUUUUACCUUUUGUAUGGCCUCUUCCAGGUUAGUAAGGAAACCAAAUGAAACAAAACUCCCAAUUACUAGCGAUUAACUAUAUUAAACUAUAUGUAUAACUAACCUCCUAUCUUCUUCUGCUCUUCCUCCCUUCUAUUCCUUAAUUUACAAAUGUUAAGAUGUUUAUGGUGAAUUUUUUUUUUUUUAAAUUGUUUUAGAUGAUGUUUUGAGUGAUAAUUUUUUUUUUUACCCAUUUGAAGUCUGGGGGGAAAGGAAGUAAAAUCAUCAUCAUAACUCGAGUUUAUUCUUUACACAUAGGAUGCAAAUCUAGAGUUAAUGGAGAUUGGUGGAGAGUUAUAAUUUUGUUAUAUUAUAAGUUAAUCAGUUCUAUCUCAAUUACUUAAAAUUUAAAAUGCAAUUGAUUUAAAAUUAAUUCAACCCACGCAACCUGCAGAAAUAGAACUAGUUGACAAACGAAUAAUAAAAGUUAAGAAAAAAGGAAAAAACAAAAAUAGGAGCCGUUUUGGUAGAAAUGAAAAUGGACAUAACAAAUUGUGAGGAGAGGAAGUGCAUGUGAUGAUCACGUGAAGUCCCAUAAUUCAUAAACAAAAACAAACAUAACAUGUUUUCGGAAUUCAGAGAAAGAUGAUGCUGUCAUUUUUUGGAUGUUUUGGGAUUCCAAACGUUGCACCGAACAAUAAUAAUAUUAUAUAUAAAAACAAAAGGAAGAAACGGAGGAGGAAAAAUUAAUAAUCUUUUUACAAAAAUCGCACCAGACAAUCACUGUCUCUACUCCUCCUGUUCUUUCACCUAUUUGGUGAAUGAUGAUCGAUGGCCGGCCUUCCUUCUCUAACAAUCUUGCCUUCAAAAUUCAGAUUUCCCAUUUGAAUUUUUCUCCCCAUGAUCUCAUUUACUGAGGACUUUUAUAUGGAAAUAGAAACAAAAUUCAAAACCCUUAACUUUCAUAUGCUAUGUACGUUCUAUAUUUAACCCCUUAAAAUUAAUGGAGUUGUACCAGUAACCAGUAAAUCAGAUGAAUAUCCCAGAAAAAACAAACAAAAACAUAAUGAUGGGUGAGGCUCAACAGGCUACAAUUAUGAAUUGCCUUAAAUUUCAUAGUACUAAUUCCACACAUGGGACCUAAUUUAACUUGCAACAUAUAAUUUCGAAUUUCCAACAUUUGCAUUCCAACAAAUGAAUAAUUAAUUUUUAAUAUUACAAUUAAAUAAUAGAAAAUAAGUCAUUUACUGCAAAUUAUUUUAGGAAAGGACCGGAGGCACAGCGGAUAUUAUUUCAUGAUGUAUUGAACUUUUUAAUAAAUAAAUAAAAGAAAGACAAAUAUCACCAAAUAGCCUGUCAAGAACUUUUGGGUCCAUCAAUGCACAUUUUUUGAUAGUCUGUUUUUUCAUUUGUCGCUGGGUUACUGCAUUGAUAGUGAAAUAUCAGAUUCAAGAAGAAGAUAAUAACAUAAAACGAUAAAUUCUUAUUCGGUUUCAACAAAUAUUACAAAUCAAAUCACAUCAAUGCGAAAUUCGUCUACUUCGUAACUCUUAAUGCCAUGAAUUGACCCUCGUGAGUUGGCACUUGCACUUCUUCUUGCAAGUAUCGUCCGACCAAAAUUUCCUGUUUAACCCAAAAGUUUGUCCAUUUGCGAUGCUCAGAUGGUGAAACCAACAAAAUUACAGCUAAAGAUGGGUUUUCAAUUCCAAACAAACUUCUCUUCAUUACUUUGUGGAGCUAUCUUUUAUCUUGCUCAAACACAGACAGUCUUUGAUGGAAAUUCCAAUUUCUUUGCUUAGAAAGUGAAUAAGAGCAAACUGGCAAAGACCCACUUCGCAUUUUUUGCAGAAACCAAAAGGGUAUGAAGAAAAAUUUAAUUUCUUAUCAUAGUUUGGGUGCAUUUCCUAGCCCAGGAGCAGGGAAUUAUCAAGAAAAAGGAUGGAGUUCAGAGAGAGUACCACGUCCGUCGGGAAGCAGCAGAAGGCAUAUAAGUGCUCUGACGCCUUUUUACAGUGGAAGAACAAUGCCUUCAAAAUGGGAAGACGCAGAGAGAUGGAUUUCUAGUCCAGUUCUAGGCUAUGGUGUUACUAAAUACACACAGUGUCAGCCUCAAAGAAGACCCAAGUCUAAAAGUGGGCCUAUUGUGCCUAUUGUGCCUCCUGGGAUUGCUUACUACUCUAAUUCUUCGCCUUCAGUGCAGGGUCUUGAUGCUGCUUCUGUUAGAAAUUUUAUAGCAAAUUCUCCUUUUUCUACUGGAGUCUUGAUGCCUAAAGGACUUGGUGUUAAUUAUAAUGGGGGUGGUGGAAUUGGUGGGCAAGCUUUUGUGAGUCGUUCUGUUAGUGGUCCUGGUUGGUCAGAUUUGGCGAGUGAAUGCUCAUCGCCCACUUCUCAAGGUAUUAGUUGCACUAUCCUUUGUGCGUAUUCACAUUAGAUUGUCAUCACUUUAAAAAGCACUUAAUCAAUUGAAAAGAACUAGGAUGUUUUCAUGGGUAUUUGAUUUCCAUAUCUAAAGGAAACUUGUAAAGCUUUAUGUUUGAGCUUAAAAUGAAUUUGGGUGGCAAUGAUUUCUUUUUCUUUUUUAAUUUAUAGUGGAGGCCCUGCAGAAACCAUUAUUUCCAGUAGCCACCAUAAUUAAAGCUAUAAUCUUAUAUCAUAACCUAAUUUCUCAAGUUCUUCCUCUUCUUCUUCUGCUUUUUUUUUUUUUUUUUUUUGAAAGAACAAGUUCUGCUUUUGUUAAGCACCAAAGUAUAGUUUUGUGGCCUAAUUGCCUUGGAAGUCAUAUUGUUAUAAGAUAUAUUGUGCUUUCAUUUGCUCUAUUAUUAAGACUCUCUGUUCUUAAUAAACAAAGAGUAGAGGCAUUAAAAUCAGCAACUAUACCCAAAUCAUAGGACUUGUGGUUCAAGUCCAGGUUGGUGGGUCAAUUGAACUUUAGCAUAUUGCUGUCGUACGGAGAUGGGGAGAUGCAACUUAAUAUGUUGAGGUGGACAAAAAAGAAAUGCUAGUGGAAAUAUACCAAUUAUGAAUUUGUAUUUUUCUUCCUCAGUUUGUUCUUUUAAGUGUAAAUUAUUUGAUACAAGUGUUAGAAUGCUUUCUACUCCUUAUAUGAGAUGAAAGAGCUAAGCAUCAAGGGAUCGAUUUUAAUAGAGUCAAAAAUUAGUUUGAUCCUCUUAUUUUUCUUUCUCGAACCAAGAGAUACAUGAACUGGGAUUUUAAUGCAUAUAAAUACAAAUGGUCUAAUUUUCAAAUAUAAGGUUUAGUGAUUACGGAGUUUGCUAGUCACCUCAUAUCAUCCGUUUAGGACAAAUUCAUUUUCUUAGUUCUCUGUCCUUUUAGUUUCUAAAAUGAUUUUUUUUUUUUUUUUUUUUUUUGAAUUCAGAAACUUUCUGAUAUGUGCUGAUUGCUGUUAAAUCAACUGUACAGAUGAGAAACUUGAGAACAUAAAUGAUGAUGAUAACACGGUAAAUCGUGUCGUUUCAAGAAGGGAUAUGGCAACACAAAUGAGUCCUGAGGGUAGUACCUGCUCAUCUCCUAGAGCAAGGUCCUCCUCUCCUUCCUCUAUCCCUGCUUUAGAACAAAGUGACCUUUCUGCUAAAUUGGACAUCAGAGAAGUGCAGGUAGACAAAAGAGCCACCCUGAUUAGCAGGACCAGAAGGCAUGGUUCUUCCAUAACUAAAAAAGGAUUGCCAGAUGUUCAGGACAGUAAUCAAAAUCCAAUAGACCCUCGCAUUUCAUCUUGGGAUGUUUCAGAAGCAUCAUCAGAAUUUUCCAAGUAAUUUCCUUUGCACCUCUUUAGUUUACUCCGUUCUUCCAAAUCUUUUGAUGCAAAGGCAUAAAAGAUAUUAGGCCUAAGCCUAAAGGGAUUCCCAUCUCCUACUGUUUGCAUUCAGAAGGACUUUAUAUUUUCUUUAUACCAAAGAAACUUACCAAAUAUGGUCAAUUAUUAAUGCAGGUUGCAGAGGGAGGAAGCCAAAAUCAUAGCAUGGGAGAACUUGCAGAAGGCAAAAGCAGAGGCAGCAAUACGAAAACUUGAGGUUACACACAAUUUUUUAUAACUAUAUCACAUUUUGGAUGUUACAGUUAAAAACCAAAAAAUGUUAGGGAGGAACAAUUCAAAGUAUUCUGCUUUCGUUCUCUUCUUGUUUUCAUUUUUCCUAUGCCCUUAAUUGCUUGCCUAUAUAUAAGUUGAUGCAUUGACACUUGGCCUUGACUAACCAUAAGUGCUGGUUUACAGAUGAAACUGGAAAAGAAGAGAUCAUUAUCGAUGGACAAGAUUUUGAACAAACUACGAAAGGCUCAGAUCAGAGCGCAGGAAAUGAGAAAUACAGUGUCAGCCGCAGAGGAACAUCAAUUAUCCAAGAUAUCCCACAAGAUUUCUUUCUUUCAUAGGCAUGCAAGGUUGAGUUUCUUGAGCAGUUGCUUUACUUGCCAUGCUUCCUAAUUUUUCCUCGUUUUUCCUUCUGGUUUAUCCUUUGUGCAAGCUCCCUCUCAUCCGUAUAAUUUUUCUCAGUUCAAAAUUUUGCACAUUCCUGCUGUUUUUAGGCCUCGGUUCUUUCCUUUUUCAACUGAUGAAUUUUGUACCAUUAUUUGAUAUUUUACUGAAUGGAUCACCUUGUAAAUCAUGAAACUAAGUAAUUUGCACAAAGUAUAUAAAGCAUCCUUCUAGAUUAGUCUGCAACAAUCGCACCCCCCACCCCCGACCCUUUUUUUAUUAUUUUUUAUUUUCUUGAGAAGAAAAACAUUCUAUCUUCCAAUUUUCUUAGAAAACUUUUCUAAGAGACUACUCCGUUUCUCUACAGAUAAACAGUCCCGAAACAUUCUGUCGCAGUACAAAAUGCAGACCCCAUCAACAAUAUCCAUAUCCAAUCUGAAAUAUUUUUGGUGUUGAUAACCAAUUGAAUGGCAAUUUAAUUCUAAAUAAUUUAACUACAAUAAAAAUGACCUUUUAGUCAUAGUACAUGGAGAGUGAUACUCUUGGUCCAAACAUGUUUGGCCUCAUAGUACAUGGAGAGUGAUACUCUUUGGUCCAAACAUGUUUGGCCGGUUAAAUUUGUACAGGUCUAUUAUGCCGCCAGAAAUAAUAUUUUGAACAGCAUGGCAUUUGAUAAUGAACGUACCAAGUAAGCAUCAUCCACAAAUCAAAUAAUAGAAAAUUGUCAAAGUCAAAUGCUUAUUUUACUAUUUUUCUUAAAACUUAGAUCAGAAAGCCUGCACAUCUUGUAGACACCAGUGGAGCAAUCCCAGUUCUCCGAGGCCACAACACUUAGUAUGGCCGAUACCUCCAAUCUGCUCUUGAAGGCCUUGCGCUACCCAUUCCAUAACCCCACUGCAAAUCAAUAAAAAUGAUAAUAAUAAUAAUAAUAAUAAUCAUUUGACAGCUGAAACUACAAGAAAGUCUGCUCUAUGCUGCAAAAUGAACUACAAGAACUCAUUAUCUUCCAAACUUUUGCUUUAGAAGGAACUUUAUAUACUCACAUCAUCAAAAUCCAGGCUUCCAUACAUUCUGCUAAAGUUGCGCAAAGGACCACCAUAACCACCAAAAGAUGGAGCAGCAUUCAUCAUGAAAUUUCCACUUGGGCCAGCAUCAUCAACAGGUGUGGCUGAAUCUAUUGCAACCUGAACGGCAAGUCAAUAUAAACAAGAAUUACUACUUUGAGGCAUAAUACCGCAUAAUUGAGAUUGGCAAUGUAUUUAACAAACUGUUUUUCACCCCAGACUCGCAUAAUAUUGCAUAUCAUAGAACUACAGAAAAAUCCCUACUAUUAAAAAUAAAUAAAUGCAUUGCUAAAUUACCAUAAUAUCACUAAAAAUUCCUUAGGGAUAAAGAAUAUAUCUUGCAUAAUUCUUUCUUAUGCCACAGUAAUUAACUACAGAUACAUGAUAUAAAUACACCACAACAAGAGAAAGUUCAAUUUAAUACCUGAUGUCCACAAAUCUCAUGAGACCUUCGAGAAACACGAUCAGCUACGCCUUCUUCAGCAAAGGUUACAAAUCCAAAACCUCUGUGGCCAGUUCUCUUUGGGUCCUACACUCAAAAAGAAUUCACAUCUCAACAAGUAUCUUGGAGCGCCUGUCAUCUAUAAAAUACAAAUAUUGAUAUCGUACCUUGGGAACAUAAACAUCUAAUAUGUGACCAAAUCUACCAAAAUACUGGCGCAAGUCUUCAGCAGUUGCUUCCUGAGGAAGUCUUCCAACAAAGAUCUUUUUGCCCAUUCCCCUAGCAGGUUCCCCUACUAACGCAACAAAUAUGAUAAAAUCAACUUUUCUUAACAAAUUUCAGUGUUAAUUACCAAACAUAUCCUGAACUACUAUUGCUCGUUCAAUUAUAGCCUAGUCUACUUCUUUCCCAAAAUCACAUAUAAACCUUCAAAAUUAUUUCAAUUUUGCCCUUAAAUUCAAAGAAUAGGUAUCCAAAAUACUAAAAUAAGAAAUAAUUGCGCAUAAACCUACUCAAAGUGGUACUUACUUCCAUAUAGUGGACCUGGAUGGUCAUAUAAAGUAGGAGCACCAAGUGCUGCAUAUCUAGUAGCUGCAGAAAUAUAAGCAUUGUAUGCGCCAUAUCCACCGUGUGACAUUCUUCCAACUGGUCUGAAAUCAUCUUCCUGGAAAUAUAAUAGCACAUCAUUCACAUUAACAUCACAAAAGACAAAUAUAAAUCAACUUCAAACGUAACUUUAUUAGAAAAAAAAUGGCACAUUAUACAUCCCAUAAAGUAACUUAAAAUGCAUAACUUAAAAGAGAAGAGACUUUCAUCUACAACGUAAAAGAUAACCUAGUUUAAAGUGAAAAGCAGCUCUUCUAUAACUUGCCUUGGGUGUUGCUCGAUCAACAACUACAGUGGAACCUCCCAGUUCAUGAUUAUCCGCCAUCAAAUUGUCCACAGAAUCUGUAGCAAAGAAGAUAAAAUGAUAUUGUUUAGGUACUUCAACCCUUGAUGUAGAAUAAUAAUAUUACUCAUUUAUUGAACAAAAGGCUAGCAAAUAACUGAAACUUGAAAACAAUAAAUAGAUCUAAAUAAAGAGCAUGCCAAUGUCUGCAUACUAACUUACUAAGAGAAGUCAUGUGAUCUUCAUACACCAACAGGUGGGAAGACCUUAAUACAUAAGCAGGAAUACCACUUAAAAAAAUAUUUUUUAAUUAUAUGAAGUAAGCAGAUACGAGUCCAAUGGCCCACAGAUGAAGAAGAACAAGAACGCAGGAUUCAAGAGCAUAAAUAAGCUGAAUGCCUAGAUAAGUAUUUACAACAUAUCUUCAUAUAGCCAAUCCCAACUAGUUUUGGACCAGGACUUAGUUGUUGCAUUCAUACAUGUAUUUUAUGAGAGUUAAUUCCACUGGAUGCAAAUUGUUUAGUUUUGCAGCACAAACAACUGGAAGGGAGCAAGUUGGUCUCACCUGCACUGGAAAAUGUUAUGAAUCCAAUUCCACGAUGUGCUUUUGAGCUAUGAUCCUGCAUAACACAUCAGUUGACUUUUAUUUAUUCAUUCAAAGUGAGGAAUGAAAGUAUCAACAUUUGUAAAGGCCAUUCAAAACAUAAGAGAUGCAUUGCACAAACACAGACUGAGAGAGUAAAUGUGAUAUGAGCUCACCUUUGGCAUGUACAGAUCUAUUAUAUCACCAUAUUUCUCAAAAUGACUGCAAAAUCAAGUUCAUAAACAUCUCAUCAGAGUAUGAGGGUAAUAUUUGAAGAACAAAAAGAAAAUGACUAAAAAAAGGUUCAAUUGACAUCAUCAUACUCAAUUACCUUCGAAAGACUGUUUCAGUCACAGAUGGUGGAAUCCUUGCCACAAAUAUCCUUGUCACUUUCUUUGCAGGUGCUCUCAUCUCCUCCUGCUAAAAGAAAAUUAAAAAUAAAGCACACAUGCAUGUAAAAUCUUACUCCUAGGAGGCUCAUAAUUGAAUAGCAUAUGUAUUAUGGAGUACAGAAUAUAAUCUCAAAAGUUGAAGGUUAAAAGGGGAGAAAGUAUAUAUAAUAUUUGAAAUCUUUAAGGCACAACCUUCGGUGUGGCCACUUUAACUUCCAGCAUUCUGUUCCCAAGAAAGUGUUCACUUGAUAGUGCACUCUGCAGCCAGCAAAAUUCAAACAUCAUAGCUUAUCCUAGAGGAUAUAAGAUUACAGAUUUGGAAAAGGAAUUCAAAUUUCAACAGACUAUUGCACAGUAAAAACCCAAGACAAACAAAAAAUCAAGAUUGAAUACCAACAAUCUACAAAUGGUUUUUACCUUUGCAUCUUCUGCUGAUGUGAAUGUUACAUAUCCAAAACCACGAGAACGACCUGAUGAACGCUCCUAAAACAUGGACAAGGUACAACAGGAAAACAAAAUCAAUAACUAAUCCAAAGACAAAACAAAUUUCAAGGUCAACAUGUUUGAUUCCAACUAAUUAUGGAAAUGAAGUCACCAAGAUGUGAAAAUCUCACACAUGAAUACCAAGUAUUGAUAUGUAGAAAGCUUCAUUGCAUAUUAUAGCAGAAGAAUAGGAAGUGCUGCUUUUAACAAUUACAUUCUGACCCAAAGUUUUGUUACAAAUCCAUGUAGAAAAUUUACCCCCUCCCUCACACCAGAUAUCUCAAACCAGGGCUUUAAAUAUCACUUGUGAUCUAGCUAUUUAAUAACAGGCUUUUAGGGGGCUGAUGUAUUUUUCUCCAAUUAAUGUCUUUGAUUUUAGAAUCACAAUGAAACAGUGCCGUUGGUCCACAAGAGCCACAAUCCUCCAUUUUUUAAAUCAAAGUGAAACAGUGACAAUUAGUUAAGUUCUUGUUUUCAUGUUUAUCCAAGCCAUUUAGCCAAUCUCCUUAAAUUCAUGGCUGUGGUGCCAAUCCAGUCCAAAUUCAUUCCAAUAACAAAGCACCCAAACAAUUCUAUAACUUAAAACUCAGUUACUAGCUAGGAUAACAGUUACUCAACCUCUAAUUUUGUAUCUAAUAAUCCACCAACUAUAGACUGGAAACAAGAAAGACACUGAAUGUUUGAUUAAAAUUUUUCAGAAAACAAAACAAUAAAAAAAUAUUUGAGCGUUUAUCAUUUGAUCUGAAUGUUUCCAGAAAGUGUAGUCCUUCGUGUCAAACUAAGCAUCUCUCUCUCUCUCUCUCUCUCUCUCUCUCUCUCUUUUUUUUUUUUUUUGGUCAACAGAAACGGGUCCUAAUAGUAAAAGUUAUCCAUAAGAAUGUGAAUGUAUAAUCAUCUGCAUCAGUAUAUCUUCUGCAACAAAACUGGCUUUAAGCAUCUCAAAGAAUACUUUAGCCAGUUAAACAUGAUAAACAUCUUAGUCUAAAAUGCAAGUGCAAGAUUUUGUCACACAUUGCAAAUUUGCAAUAUAAGUUCAUGAAAUCCAUUAAAAAUUUUAGGCGUGAAAUGAGCAAUAAGGCAGGAAAAAAUAAUUGCAAUCUAUUUAAAAGUUGUAAAAUUAAAAAUCCACAAUAGGCGGAUUAUUAAGCAACAAAUAGAAGAAUGUUAAUCUGGAAUAAAGCAACAACAGAAACAAAAAUCUAAACUUCAAUGUUUGAACAGAGAAAAAGGCUAACCUUCAUGACAAUACAAUCCUCUAGUUCACCAAAUUUGCUCAUAUAUUCCCUCAAACCUUCGGUAUCCACCUCCCAUGGAAUACCCAAAACCUAUAAUUCAAUUGCAAACAACAUAAUUGAUCAUUAAUCAAAUAAGAAAAGGAACAAAAAGGAAAAGUUUAAGAUAUGUGCAUGAGAUACAAAGAUCAAAAUAACUAACCACAAGCUUUCGCUCCAUGAGAAACUUGAAUAACUGUUGCUACAAGCGAAAUACAGAUGGAGAUGGGGAACCCUAACACUCAAAUUCGUUCGGUAUCGCUCUCUUAGCUCUAGCAGACUAACAAAACUCUCUCUAUCUCUCUCACACACCUGGUCGCCCCCUGCACAUGACAAGCACACCUCUUUCUCACAAACAAACAUCAAAUGCCAAAUCAAACUCACCAUUUCCUCUUACGAAAUAUUAAAAAGAAAUUUCUCAAACGACUCAAAACAACAAAACACACAAUAAAAGUGAAAAUUGUUAGCGUCAACAAUGAAUUCGAUAAUUGGGGGAGAUUUUUCACGCUCACUAACCUUUCGAUGUAUGGAAAUUUCAAAACCCUAAUUCGGAUCUCCCCCUCUCCCCCUCUCCCUCGAACGGUUCCUUCCCCGCCUAUACCUACCAAGCUCUCCUGCUCUCUCUCGUUCGCACGCGCCAAACUGUCUGGGUCUGGGUCUGGUCUAUUUCGGGCUUUAUGGUGGCUGAGCUUAAGGGGGAGAAAAGUACGGAUAUGCCGAAUCUUGGGCCACUGGGCUUUUUAAUUUUUAAGGAAAAAACCAAUUGUUAGUGGUUUAAUUCGUUGAAGACAUGAAAUAAAUUUGCUAAUUUGUUGAUUAUUGGUUGCUUUACCUUUUCUAAAUCAUUAAAAAUUUGAAUAAUAAGUGAAACCAACUGUAUUCUUUAAUGUAUAUAUGUAUGGUCUUAAAAUAAGUUAUUCACAUAUCUGAUUUUUAUAUAUAUUUGUUUUUGAGUAUUAGAAGAGGGGAUGAGUUCAAACAUAAUAGAAGGUCGCAUAUGCACUUACCAUUAGAUAAUGUCUUGGUGUGCAUGAUUUAUAAUUUUUAGAUAUAUUAUAUAAGUCAACUAACCUAUUUGGAAAUUUCAAUUAUUGCAUUUAUCCAGGCUUGAGAAGAGUUUCUCAACUUAAUUGAACUCGAUUAGCGAAGAUAUUUAGCGGAAAAAAAAAUGGCAUUUUGCUUGAUUGAGGGUGAUAUAUUGAGAGAGAGAGAGAGAUUAAAUGCAGGCUUGAGAAGAGUUUCUCAACUUAAUUGAACUCGAUUAGUGAAGAUAGCGAAAAAAAAAAAGGCAUUUUGCUUGAUUGAGGGUGAUAUAUUGAGAGAGAGAGAUUUUGUUUUCUUCACAUAUUAAAAGUUUUCCUUCUUUCUAAUAUAUUUUCAUAAGCAUAAUUUUUCCAUUUUACUAUUCCACACAUCUAAGAAGAUUAUGUUGAUAUUUAAAACUACAUUUUUAAUUUUUCUUUUUAUAGAGAAACCAUUUUCAUUAAUCAAUAAAUUGAAAAAAAAAACACAAACUAAAUAAAACACAAGCAAUUAAGCACAACAAAAUCACCAUCACCAUCUUUACAAAUUAAGUAGGAAGAUACCCAUUUGGCUCGCCUAGUGGAAAUAAUGUAUUUAUGCUCCAAUUAGCACUAUUAAUCAUAUAAAUAUAUCUUUGAAAUGACAUUUUCAAUUUGAUGCAUUUUGAGGUAGCAAAAAUACUUGAGCAGAACCCAAACGAGUCGCAUUAACAUAAUCUUGGGGACAAUGAGCAGGUACACCAGGAACAGCUAAUCCAAUAAACCUAAACAAUCUCAUAAACCAACCUUCUCUAUAAUUUGGUCCUUUGGUGUGCACAAUAGUGAAGCUUCUUAUUAACUCCAUAAGAGCAUUUAUCAUCAUCGGUAUUGCUCUGAGUGGCGAGAAGUAGUUCUUGUUUGGUUCUUCUUUAACAACCUGCAAAUUUUUUCAAACCAGAAGAAACAUUUCGCAGUUAUUAAUUUAUAUUCUUAUUAUUAAUAAUUAAACUAUAACCGAAAAAAGAUAAAGAAUUGUUAGAAGGAUGCCUGUGGUUCAUAGUGCCUAUUAUAGUAAAUGCAGGUCCCAAAAUGCUUGAACAUAAGAGCUGAAUCAUCGUAAGGCAACCUAGGAACCAUGUCAUUAUUAUAAACAAAUCUGUAAUAAAUUAUAUCGUUUUCUUUUAAUUUCUUUUCCAUGUAUUGACCAAAACUUUCAUCUCCAACUCUAGGUUGCCCAAAUGUGUAAACUCCUUCCAAUUUCUGCAACAGCAUUUUCUCAUCAUGGAAUGCCAAAAUCGCAGGAAACAGAAUUGCUAGUGCUCCACCUAAACUAUGACCAGUCACUAUAUAUUUUGCUUCAUUGUUUUUUGCCAGUAUUUCUUUUAAAAUUUUUCUAAUAUCAUAAUAGGCUAAGGGAGCUUUACGACUGUCGUUUUGAUUAAUCUCCUCUUUAGGCCAACCUGUGGAUUUCUGCAACCCUAAUGCUUUCAUAUAACCUCCAUGGAUUCUUCCUAUGCCUUCAAGUUCAUACCAAGAGAUAUCAAAAUCUGAACACCAAGCAUCUGCAUCAAAUGGUUCGGUGCCUCUAAAGGCUAUAACUGUCGUAUCUUUGUUAUCAGUUUUGUCGCGGAAUAGAAAGACUUGAGUUGUGUCUUUAUCUUGAUAAUCUGCAUUAAAUAUUACUUAAAUGAAUUAUUUUAAUUACAGAUCACGCUUAUGAACUACGUAUAGAAAAUGGAAAUUACUAAUAAAAAUUUGAGUUCAGGUUGCUUAAUUAAUUACCAUUCCAGUAGUCAUAAAAUCCCAAAAAUUCCAUCUGCGUAAGAUUUGCAAACAUUUAAUGAUUUUUAAUAUUUAUUAAUUAAUUAGUAAAUGCAUGGUAAUAAUUAAUUUUGGAAUGAGGUAAUAUUAAUACCUUCCAAUAAUCACCGACUAUAGUUUGAAGGUAGGCCUUGUUCUCGUAAGAUGCUUUAGAAGCCAUCAUAGAGAGAGCUGCAUUGUAUCUUGAAUCUUCACGUGCUAUGUCUUUGUCCAACUCAAGUCGCUUGUCGAAAUUUCCGAUAAAAGAAAUGAAUGUUGCUGAUGUUUUGUCAGGAAUUAUCAACCUUCCUGAACACAAUUAGCCAACAAAGUUAAGAUAUACAAUAAUAAUAAUGAUAUGUUGUAAUCACAGUUGUUGAUCUGUAUUAUUAGACUGUUAACUAUUAAUUAUAUACUAGUUAUGUGCCUGUCCAUUGUAUGGAAUUUGUAAUUUCGUUAUAUUAUUUUUAGAAAUUCAAAUAACAAUUUAAGAUUUGUGUUCCUAUCGUUACAUUCUAAAAUAUAGAAAAUUUAAUUACGUGUAUGUACUAAUUGAAUUCAAUAAAUAAUAACCCUGGAAUAAGUUUAUUAUAUUAAUGAACAAACUCUUUGAUUUUUUUUUUCAAUAAUAAUAAUCCAAACAAUUUUUUUGCCCAUUAAUGAAAAACCUCUUCAGUUUUUUUUAAUGAUCAAUAGGAUUAAAUAUUUUCAGGUUCCUAAAUUAUAACCAAAUUAACACUUAGGUCUCUCAAUGUUUAAGUAAUUAUUUUGAAGGACCUAAAUAACGUCAUUAUUUCACUGUGAGGUCCUUCCAUCAAAAUUCUUACCUUUUUUCAUUUAUAUGGACUGAAAAGCAAAUAAUUACUCAAAUAUUGAAAGACCUAAGUGUCAAUUCGAUCAUAAUUUAGGGACCCAAAAAUUUUUAAACCCCCACUUAAUAUUCACUUUUCAGCCCAUAUAAACGGAAAAAUGUAUGAAUUUAGAUGGAAGAUUCUCACAGUGUAAUAGCAAGCAUAAUUUAGAUCUUUCAAAAUAAUUUAUAUGAAGAUAUUGAUGAUGGGUUAAAUAUUUUUGUCGUUACACUGUGAGACCCUUCCAUCUAAAUUCAUAUCUUUUUCCGUUUAUAUGGGCUGAAAAACAAAUAUUAAGUAUUAAGUGGGGUUAAAUAUUUUUGGGUUCCUAAAUUCUCACAGUGUAACGACAAUAUUAUUUAGAUCUUUCAAAAUAAUUACUCAAAGAUUGAGGGACCUAAGUAUUAAUUUGAUCAUAAUUUAGGGACUCAAAAAUAUUUAACCCAUCAUCAAUAUCUUCAUAUAAAUUUUAGGUUUAAAUCCGGUGCGUUUUUUUUCUACUCAUAUUCACUUUACAAAUUUGUAUUAGUAUAAGAAAAACGACUUUGAAAUUUUUAUUAAUGAAGUAAUUAAUAUUGUUAAUUUAAAAUUUUGGAAUUUUGAUACUAGGUUAGGGUUUCUCUCUUUCUCUUCUCUCUGGUUUAUCUAACCUUACCUUUUAUUUGAGGCUACUGUUGUUAAUCAACGGUAACACCCUACUUUUUUUUUUCUCUUAUCGCUCUUAAUCUUUUAUUGUUUUUAAUAAACUUAGAUCUAUUUUCUUUUAAUAAAUCUGUUUUUCUUUGUUUUUUUACUAUUAUUGUUUUGUUUUCAUAUUUGGAGUUCUUUGUCCCUUUUUCUGUGAGAGUUAAUUUAGUUUCUUCUUUGUGAAAGUUUGUUCUUAAAAGGCAUGAUAUUUGAUUUUAUUUGGUUGGAGAAUUUAAAUCUUAUUUUACUGAUAUGUAUCUUUAAUCAAUGGAAUCUAGUAGUGCGGCCUGUUCCUCUAUUGACGUUAUUAACGCACAGUAUCUUGAACUCAUCCGUGUACGUCAUACGUAAUAAAUUUUUGAAAAAGCAAUCCAAACAUAAAAGAUUCAGAGAAGUUAUUUUGUCAUCCAAAUCAAUUAAAGAACCAGUUGCUACUAUAAAGAUUCAUAUCAAUCAAGGUUAUCUUAAAGUGGAAAAAUCCGAUAUUGUUUCUUUUAGUUUUAAUUUUAUUAUUCAAAAGAAUAUAAAUUAUUCUUUUGUUCUUGAAGGAUGAACGGACUUUCUAUUAAUUAUGAUAGUAAAUUCUAUGUUUAUCCUAAUUGAGUAUUUAUAAUACUUGAUUUUAUAUUAUUAAUGAAUUAUAUUUCUAAAAUAAAUUGGGAUUUUCGAAAAAAAAAUGUUAAUUUCAUCAAUUAUUAGUUAAAAAACUGUAAAAUUAUAUUAUUUGAAAUAGUAUUAAUGAUAUUUUUAAUUAUUUAGUUAAUUAUUUUUAAAAAGUUAAAUAAUAUUAUUAAUAUUAAUGUUAACUCAGAUAAUAUCUAAAUUGAAAAAUGAAAUUAAUAAAUAACACAAAAAAACAAUUUUUCUUGCCAACUCAAUUUUAUCCACGUUCAUCUUACAAAUUUGUAAUUAUGUGAGAAACAGAUUUUAAAACUUUUAUUAAUAUUAAUUUUAUUAAUUACUAUGAAAAAACUAAAAAUUUUUAUUAUUGGAAGUAUUAUUUAUGAUGUUAUUAAUUAUUUACUUAAUUAAUGAAAAAAACUAAACAACAUUUGAUAUUAUUAAACUAAAAAAAGAAAUUGAAAAUUUUUUUUAUUUAAAAUACAUUAAUGGCAUUAGUAAUUAUUCAAUUAACUAUUUAAAAAACUAAAGAAAAUUCAAUAUUGUUAAUGAUAUCAACAUUAACAUUAACUCAAUUAAUGUCUGUAACAGCAAUAGUUAAGCCUCAGUUUUAAAAUUGGAUCUACGUCUCAAUUAACAUCUAAAUGAAAAAAAAAAAAGAAUUAAAAAGUAAUAUUAAAUGUAUUUUAUUUGAAAAUUAUUUCUUUUGGCACAUUACUACUUUAAUAUUUUAAUAUUGUGACACAUAAAUGACGUGGUUUUGCUUUGAUAUAUUUAUUAUUAUAUAUAGAUAUUAGUGGGGAAUGAAUGUUACCGUUGCUUAGGGUUUUCCACUGUGUAAUUGAUUGGUGGAUCUCUUCUUAAUCGUGUUCUUUUGAGCUGUAUAUCAAGGGAUAGUUGAGUUUGAGGGACCACAUCAUUCGUGAUCAUGAUCCUAGCUAGAUCCCACUUCGUAGUUAGCCAGAAGACUUUUAAUUUGAUGGUAUAAAGGGUUAAAAAAAAUUCACAUCUCAAAACUUAACUUUGAUGUUGGAAAUAUGUAUACUUUAUGUUAAUUAUUAAAUUUAUACGUAAGUUCAUUCAAAAAAAAAAAUUAUACGUAAAAACUUCAGUAAAAUGUUAUUAUUUUUGUAAAUUUUUUAAUUUUUAUUCAAUACUAACAAAUAAAAAUAUUUAAGUUCUUAUACAUAAUUUUCAAGCUUGUUUUACCGAUUGAACUAUUCCUGAUCCUGACAGAUAUAGAGCAAGAAAAAGAGUAAUGGAAACAACUGACCUCUUAAUAGGUUGAACAAAAGCCUGAAAAAAUUUCCAUUACAGGACAAGAGGUUAAGCCACAUCUCGAUCAUGGAACCAAGAAACGAUAAUGGCGUGGAAAAAAGUUUCAGCAUCUUUUGAACGACGAUGGAGAUAAAAAUAAGCCAUCGCCGCUCGAAACUCUCCUCUUUGGCCUCUGCACUGUCAAGGAACUUUCUUUUCCCAAUAUCACUGGAAAAUAAGAUGUUAAAAAGAUCAAACAAUCUCAAUUCUUCAGGCUUCAAGAUCAUAUAUCUGCUCGAAAAACCUUUGUCGCAAUCCAUAGUUUCUUUCUGCAAAAAACUGAUUAAGAAAGAGAUCAGAAAUUAAUUAAGGAGACUAAUUGCUUCCUUACCACUCUUAAACGUUUAUAUAGAGAGAGGUUAAGAGGAAGAGGGUGAGUGGGGAGGAGAAGACUUGUAAAUCUUCAGUCUUGGUGGGUUGAUUUUUACUUGAAAAAUUUAGACAUGUGUGUGAAGUGUGAACAGAAUCUAAAACAUUCUUGAAGUGGAAGCCUGACAGUAAAAGAAACCUAAUUCAGCAUUUAGUAUUUCAAAACAAUUCUUUAUGCUAAAAUAAUUAAUUAGUAACGUUUUUUUUUUUUUUUUUUUUUUUUUGGUAAUAUUAAAGAAAACACUCAAACAAUUAAGUAUUUUUUUUAUUCUAAUUUAUAUUUAUUCCCAGACUGAAUGUGCAAAAUCUUGAUUUUUUUUUUUUUUUUUUUUGAAGUCAGUCUUGAGUUAUUUUUAAGUCUAUUAAUUUGAUAUUUAUAAUUAACAUUUAAAUCAUCUGAUUAAUUAAUUUACAUGAAAAAGUGGAAAAAGGGAAUUCAUAAAAGGUGAAAAAAAAUAACUUUUAUGACUUCUUUUUAUAAGAAAAUUAUUUUUUGACUUGACUUGACUUGAUUUGCCAGGGUCGUGAAGAACAGUAGAACACUUGGGUGGAUAAAGAGAGGAUGCUUCCAAACAAUUUCUGAGGAAACCACCUAACUAGACAAAGAAUAAAAGCAGUCUUUGUCAUUAGCAUCCAAUUUACAAAGACAACCUAAGGACAACUAUUUUUAUGGUUUUCAAUUAUUGCAGUGAUGGUAAUAUAGUUUUUUUUUUUUUAAAUCAAAUCUUGAAAUCAAUUUUGGCAUACUAUGAUCAAGUCAUAUCAUUAAUAUUUUUAAUUUUAAUUUUAACCUUCCGGUAAUCGCUCCAUUUAGGUAAAAAUUCUCUUUCAACCUUUAAGUCUCAAUCCACCCCAAAGUCGUCGAAUUGCAUUAUUAGAACAAAUCUCUUUCCAGACAGCUUGUGAUUUUAAAUGACUUCACUUGCCAAGAUAACGAAAAACACUUUAGAUGGAUAAGGAGAGGAUGGUUGAUGCUUCUAAACUAAGGAAACCAACUAGCACACACCAAGAUGACAUCUUUUUUCCCAAUCUAAAAGGGGGAAAAGAUUAAAAGGAAUGCAUGUAAUUAGCAACUAAAAAAUAAGAGUUACCAUGAUAAUCCCUAAUAUUAAAUGUUAUGAAAUGAUAAGUAUUUUUACUUUUUACGAAAGACUUAUCUAUAUCCGAUGUAUAGAUCCGUUCAAGCACCAAAAUCAAUUAAAAUUAAUUUUUGAUUGAAAGAAUGAUAUUUAAGAUCAUGCUCUAAAAAAAAAAGAUAAAAUAGAAACAAUUUUUAAAAAAUAUCUUUAUUAAUUGAUUGGUUGUAUAAGUAGAUUCGACUGUAGGCAAGUCUUAUUAUUUUCUGUACAUUAAGAUCAAAAUUCAAAUAAAAAACUAUUAUCGAGUUGAAUAAAUUAAUCUCCAUCUUAAUAAAUAAAUUAUCAAGUUGAUGGAAAGCAAUGAAGACCAAGAGGUAUAAAAGUGAAAGAGAAUGAGGGAAACAAAAUCUCCACAUAGAGGAUAAGAAUUAAGAACUAACCUUGAUUAAGAAAAGGUCCACUUGAUUACUUGUUACUAAUAUUUUACAUGCCCAUUCAUAUUGAUUUUGUCUUGUGGACUUGCUGAUUAUUAAUAUUUCAUUCCAAAAAGCAAAGAAAUCAAAAGAGCACACGAAAGACAAAGGGUUCCCAUUUAUAAUUAGGCUUUUGUCUUCUCGAUAGAUGUUUAAGGAGAGGCAGACAAGGCCCACCAAUAUCAUGGGUUCAGGCAGUAAUAGGCUCACAUCCCACGAUCUCUUGAGAGAAAAUGUUUUUUUUUUUUUUUUUAUUUAUCUAUUGGUUAAAUAGAAAAUAUUGAAGUGUUCGUAAACAGUGAAAAACAGCUUAAAUCAUUUAAAUGAAUGUAAAUCGAUUUAAAAGUAUAUUUUAAAAAAAUUAUUAAUUUGAUUCUGUUUUCAAUAUUUAAAAAACUGAAUUAUUGCUUUGAUUUACAGUUCUAAAAUCAAGACCGUCCAAAUUUAAUUAAAUUAUAUAUCAUUUAAAUAUAAUUUCUAAAAAGGAAAUUUCUUUUAUAUUGAUUGGUAUAUAUUGGAUGAUAAUUAAAUUAUAAUUUCAAAUUAAUUAGACAAAUUAAAUUAAUUAUUUUAGAAAAAAUAUAUAUAUGUUGAAGAUUGUUAUGAAAAAUAUAUUAGUACACAUCAUGCAUUAAUUACACGUGUUAAGUCACAGUUUUUGAUAAUUUUUCUAGUAAUAAAAGUAAAAAAUAAAUAUAGGUAAUAAUAUAAAAUUUUGAAUUUUAAAUCAAUUAAAUUAUAGAUUAGAGUUCAACAAAUGUUCAAACCGAACACCACACGCACGAGAAAACAGCUCCGUCGUUUAAUACCCUCCGCAGUUGUAGACUUGUGGUUGUUGAAUUACAUUAAUUCAUUGCUGGGGUUUGCUGGUUCGGUUAGGUUCCUUUUAUCUUCUCCAUAUUCUCUUUCUUUUUCCAAUUUACUUGUGGAUUUGGCUUAUUCUUUUUCUUCUUCUUUAAUUUAAUUUCAAAUGGAGAAAUAUUUUCAUUUUUAUAUUAUUAAAUGGAAGUUUAUUGCUCUUUAUUAUUUUAUUUAAAAUAUUAAAAGAUUUUUAAGAGCUCGUUUAUUUUAUUUUCGAUUGGAUUCUGAAUGUUAAAUUAAAAAUAAUAAUUUAUUAAGUUAAAUGAUUGAGAAGUAGUAUUAGCAGUUUAAUUAUUGAAGAUUAAAAAGUGAUAUAUACACUAUUAUAUAUAAUUAUAAAGGCAAUUUUAUCUUUUCAUUUAAUAAAUUAGAUAAUUUAUUGAAUUAAAUUUGAAUAUAAACAUUUUUUAUUCAGAUAAAAUUUAAAUUGCAAAAGCCAAAUUUAGAUAAGCUGCUUAUUGAUUUGAUUCAGACAAAUAAAUUUAUUUCUUCCUCAAAAGUUCAAAUGAUAAUCCAAUUUUUAUUAUUGAAAUUGUUAAUUAAAAUAAUUAAAAUUUAAUUUAAUCGAAUUGUUAUACGUCAUGCUUAUUAAAAAAUGGUAAUAAAUUAUUUAGUCCUAAACUUUGAUAAAAGUUACUAUCAAAUACUUAUUAUUUAAUAAAAUUAUUGAUUUAUUUAACUUCGUUGAGCUAUUUAGGAUUUUUAUUAAAAAAAUUAUUUUUAUCAUUUUUUAAUUUUUACCGUUAAAUAUUAUACAAUAUUAACUAUUUAAACCUAACUUUACUAUUUAAUUUCUCAUUUAAAUGUAAAGAUGACAAUUUUUAGGUGAAAGGAACAAGUAUAAAAAAUGAUAUUUUUUGGAGAAAAUGAGUAAAAGCUAAAUUUCAAAGAUAAAAGCUAAAUUUCAAAGAUAAGUUAAUAAUUUUGGCAAAUAAUAGAAAUGUGAUACUACUUGUAAUUAAAAUUUAAGGACUGUAUAACAAAUUAAUCUUAUAAAAAUUAUAAAAGAAUUAAAUAAAAUUAAUAUUUCUCAAUAAUAUUUAAAAAUUAACAAUUCCAACAACAAUCAGCUAAUAAUUUGAGCCGUCGAGCCAUCUUUCCACCAGUAUCAUAUCAGUCAUCACCACUAGCACGUGCAAAAAUCACUACUACUCGAAAUCGCUAACUACUGCUAACUUUGAUUAUUAUUACUAUUAUCAUACUAAUCACAUUCAUAUCAGAGAUAAGAACGAAACACAGAAACAGAACAACUGAAGAAUAUAUGGAAAAUGGCGCAUAAAAUUAAUUAAUUACCAACAAAAACCAGCACCUAAUUAAGGUAGAAAGCACUAAAACCAAUAAUUAUACUACAAAUCACAUUGUUUAAUACACAUCGCAAAUCCUCACUAAUCAUCCAAAAAAAAAAAAAAAAAAAAAAAUCCAAACCAUCCAUAACCGAAUAGGCAAAGGUUCUUUCUUCAUCUCCUGCAACGAGUAAUCCUAUUGCAGCCUCUGGUGUAAGGGUUAACCGGAGCUCUAGAUUUGAAGCAAUUAUUAGUAUAAUAAGAUCUACCUGACCUUGGAGGGCAAGGAAUUCUAUUAGCCGCAAGAGCUCCGUAAGAGAUAUAAUAAUGAACUCUUCUCCAGAACAAAGAUCUACGGUCGCCUAUCUCUUCAUUUUCUUCGUCACUAUCUAAAUCUAUCAAUCCAUUGUCGAACUCACCUUUCCCUUCCAAAUCACUGUACAUAGACAUCGCCAUUGGCCAUUCGAGACUGUCCGCCAUUAUCUUCAACCCUGUUUCUUCCACUUGAGCUUCGAUUCCUAAGCUAAGAGAGAGGGAAACAGCGAAAAGGAAAGUUAAGUGUUUAGAAAUCGCCAUUGGAGGGAGAGAUUUGAAACUAAACUAAGCUUGAGAGAGACUUAAGUAUGUCUGUCAAUGGCUAGUUGGGUGCUUUCUUUUUGAGUGAUGGAGAGGGAAAAGGAAGAGUAGGGACAAGAGGAAGAGGUCACAUGGAGCUGCAGUUGAAGAUAGAGAGAGAUUGAUUGGGUUACAGCUGUGCUUCAUCAAUGCAUCAAUUAACGCGUCGUCCAAUUCUGGUACAGUUUUGUUCGCGCAAGGGAGAGAGUAGAAAGAAAUGAUUCUGUGUGUUAGGUUCCACAAGAUAGAUUUGUGGUAUGAUGGGUUUCUUGAAAUGUGGCAGUAUCUAAAUGGGUGUUAUGGGAAGUGACAAGUGGAAAUACUGUGUUAAACGGUGUCGAAUUCGUCUCUUUCUCUAUUUUGCGCAAAGGGUGGCGAAUAAGACAGCGGUACAUUCGGCAGGUUGUCCUAAACGACGCGGCUGGUCGGACAUGUUCGGUCCCACAUUAAAGUCAUAUAUGUAUAAUAUUAAUAUUACCAAUUAUUAAUCAUCUACUUCUCCAAAAAGAAAAAAAAAAUUAUGAAUCCCCUAGAUUGAUAAUUGAUCCCAACCUUAAACUUAACAAUAAAAAAAUCCUUUCAAUCAAAUUUUAAAAAACGGAAAGGUUGUUUUUCUUUUUCUAAUAUAAUAUCCUCAGAAGUGGAAUUAUUAGUGAGAUUUUGAACUCAAUUUUUAAAAAGAAAAUAUAAAUUAAUUAUGAUGCGGUUAAAACAGUAUUAUGGAAUCAGAUUGACCAGUGAGACCAGUUAAAAUAGAAAAUGACACUUUUAAUUUAAUUAUAAAGUUAGCCCAAUUUGUAGGGAACCAAAUGUUAGAAUAAUUGAAUUUUUUUAUAAAAAUAUAUUGUUUUCAUUUAACAAUUUUUUUAGAAAUUAUUGAGUAAAAUUUUUUUAUUUAUAUAUAUUAUUUUGUUUUAUAGGAUGCAUAUUUAAUGAGAAUAAUAUAUCAUAUAUAUUAACUAUUACAAAAAUAAUAUAUAUAUAAAUGUUAAAAAAAAAAAAGAUUGAAUCGGUCUGAUUUUAACUCAAUCAUAGCAUCGAUUCGGUUGUUGAUCCGGUUCACUUUGAUUUCGAGAAAUAUAUGGUCAGAUUUUUUUUGAGUUGCUGGCUAUUAUAAUAAAAAAUAAAUCCAAUUUUAUCCCUAUCCUAUUUUUCAAAAUUCGUUGGGUACAACAUUAUCAUGUAUGUAUCUGAAUAGUCGGUGCUAAAUGUUGGGAUAGAUUGACACAUUUAAUGAUCUUCCAAGGAGGCCAUCUAGCGUUCUCUAAUACAAGGCCAACUCCCUCACAAUUGAUUUUGCUCCGAGUAUAAUCUUGUAACUACCAGAAUACAUAUAUUCACCCCUCCAAUCUCACAUUUUAUAAUUUUAAUUUUGUAACAAUUUAAACUUUAUAAUAUGGUUUAUCAUGCAUCUGAAUUUACAAAUUUUAAUAACACUGCAUAUAUUUACACAUUAAAGAUAAUAAUUUUUAAAGUUUUUUAAUUUUUAUAUGUAAAAUGCUGAUUUGAUAUGUAAUUAGUAUAAUUUUUGUAUAAAUAUUUAAGUAAUCUAAUUUCGUAAAUCAAAGUGUUUAAUUUAUGUAAUUUUAUAAUUUAAAGUAAAAAAAAAAGCCGAAAGUGACAUAAAUUUAAACUAAUAAGGUUUAGGGAUGGAUUUAUGUAUUAAUUAUUUAGAUUUCUUCUUUCUAAAUUUUCUUUCUAUAUUGUGUGCAGUAAGAGAGAGAAUAUAUUUGCUAAGUUGAUGUAAAAUCUAGAUCAUCUUUCUUUGCAUUUAUCUAUGAAGUUCAGAAUCUUAUAAUUCAUGUUUAAUUUCUUAAUAAUAAAAAUUAACAUUUGAAAUCAAGUUAAAUUCUGAGAUUGAAGAGAAUUAUUGCAACCAAAAAAAAAAAAAAAACUACUAAUAAAGGUAAAUGGGCUCGCAAGCGCAUAUUAUCUUGGAUUUAAAUUCAUAGGCUUAAAAACCCAAAAGACCAUUCAUUUUGUUCAUCAAAAGCCAAGCCCACCUAUAGACUUUUCAAGCCCAAAAGAAAGGGCUAGAUUGGGCACAAAUUGAAAGUCAAUAAUCAAAAUGGAGAACACGAGUAGCUUGAUGAAGGAGAUAGGGUGCUUGGAAUUUGGAUCUGUUUCUAUGGGCUGCCCUAGAAAUAGAACACCUACCUAAACUAUAUGCCAAUAGAUUGAAUUUAAGACUUUCAAUCGCUCCAUACUGUAAAAAAGAAAUGAACCCAACUUCUAACUAGUCGCUUAUCACUGCUUAUCACUUAUUAUGAUUCAUAAACUCGGUCUAGACAAGAUAAUCAUUUAAAUUUUUUAAAUAUAUAUAUAUAUUACCCACACAUAUUAAUUUUUCUGACCAAGCUCACCCCCAAGGCUCUUGGAUUCUCUUAAUGAGGCUAUAAGAUUGGACAAAAGCUAUGACAAAUAAUAUAUAUAUAUAUAUAAUGCAGUACUUAUAUAAUUAAGAAAUUAAAGAAACCGUGACAACCAAUGAGAUAACUCAAUCAUUACUCAGUAUGACAAUCUCAGCUGUUAGUGGUCCGUUAUUCAUUGUUUUUACUGUCAUACAGAUUCCUUUCUUCUCUCCAUAUAUAUUUGCAUGCUGAAAAUGGCAGAGAGAACCCACAGGAAAAUGCCAUUUUAGUCCAGUUCUAAAUGGAUUAAUUAAAGAACAAACUUUAAAAAAAAAAGAAAAGAAAAGAAAAAAACUUAUCGUUCCAAUUGGACUGAACAGAGCUGAAUGCGUGUAAGUAUUAAUUUCAUGACCUAUAUAGUUUUGACGAAAGUGCACCGACCCUUAAUUCUUAGCUAGCUUUUACAUUUUUUGCAGGGGUUGACACUGCAAUUUUGUGCAUUUAUGAAACCAAACUGUCACUCUCUCUUUAUAUAUAUAGUACAGUUGAAUUUUAGAGCCCGCGUGUGAGGACCUAUUAUUGCACCAAGCUCAAGCUGUUCAUGAGCUGAGUAUGAACUUUGGAAAUAUUAAAUUUUCCAAAAAUCUGGCUCAUUGGGUUUGUAACUCUUUUUUUAUAAAUUGAAAUUUAACCGUUAUGUAAAUGAGACUAAUUUAUGUCUGACAUGGAUUGUAUUCAGCUAAACUCAGUUUUUUUUUAAAGAACGACUCCAAGUCUCAAAUCUCUUAUUUUACAAGUAUAGUUGACUUAAAAUAUAGUUUACAUCAACUGUUCCAACUUUUUUCAGAGUUUUGUGGGAAGCAGUGGCAGUAAAAAAAAAAAAAUGUUAAUGGUGAUUAUGAGAAAUAAAAGGUAGACAACGUGAAAAGAAGCAGCUGCAAUGUGGGUAUUGGUUUGUCCAUUUUGGGGUAACUUAUGGGAGAGAAAGGAGGGGCGAAGAUUAUCAUGUUGAAGGAAAAGACAGAGAAAAGGGACCAUUUUCUGAGGAAAAUGGCAAUUAUCUCGUCAGUGUUAGAAUAAAAAAUAAUAUCAUAAACAGUAGUGUUUUGUGUAAUUCUUUUAUCUUAUUUUAUUUGCUUAUAGAAACAGAAUGAAUUGUAGGUUACUUUGAGUAUACUCAGAAUUGUAAGGAUAAAUCUCUAGUGAGUUCUAUUUAAUGUCCAAUUGAAGAGAGAGAGGUCCUCUACCACGUGCAUAUCUUAAAUCUUUAUGCUGUAGAGAUAAGAUAAUAAUAAUUCAAGAGAAAAGGAAAGAACUAUAUUGAACAACUCACACUCUCGCACUCAUAAACAGCCAUUCUUUACAUUUUGGAUUCUUUCUGUAUUUAGUUUUGAUGCCUUCAGUAUAGAACAGAACAUGUUCCCUUAUUUGAAUCAUCUUCUUCUAUUAGACUACGUGUUUUUCUAUAUAUAUAUAUAUAUAUAUAUAUAUAUAACAUUUUUCAUUUACUUUAUUUAACAAGAGAUUUAAAAUCUUACCGCAUUUUAUUUCUUUUUCACUAUUAAAUUAAACGAGUCGAGUUGAAUUGUAACGAACUCGAACAAAGUACUUAGACUCAAAUUUAAAUUCAAAUUUGAGCUCCACCCAUUUACUAAAUUUUAUUAAAUUUAUCAAAGGAAUAAAAAAAUAAUUUUAAAGGAAAUAUGAUGUCAUAACUAAGUUGCAAGAUUGGACUUACUUCCACAAGGAUAGAGAGCCGAAAGGCACCUUACACAAAUAAAGUCAAAUCACCAGCUAGCACCUAAAGAAAUUUACCAGUACAAAAGAAAUGAUCAGCUCAUGUACUUGCUCUACGAGUCGGACAGAGUCACAAUCAACCCUAAUCUGCUUUGAAAAGUGUGCCAAAGGGAGCAGCCCGAGAGGUGCGUCAGUUAAUGUACUAAUGAUCAUAACCCACCACCGGAAAGCCGGAAUGCUCCGCCGGCGGUGAUCUGUAAAUCAUAGAAUUGGCUGGUUAAUUUGCUUUGAGAAUAAUAAAUUAUGGGUCAAGGUGGGCGUUGGUGAUCUUCUGACAAAUGGCAUGUGAGUGGGGUUUCAAUAGUUCUUUUGUUAGUGAAAAAAAAUAUUUUAAAUUAGAAAUGGGAAAGAAAAAUCAAUCUAAGUAAGCAAAGCAAUAGCACUUACACAACUCAAAGAUCAAAAGCACUUAUUAUUAAAGGGGAUGCCAUAAAAGAAAGUCUCUCAAAGGGGUUCAUGCACCAGUACUCUUUAAUCUGAGCCUUCUACUUUGUGGGCCUAGUUUCAUGAAAGGUCUAUUUACCAUUGAUCUUUUCUACUUAUAGUUUAGAUUUUUCUAUUCAUUUAUCACUGGUAAAGAUCCAACGGCUGUUAAUCAAUAUCUUUAGAUUUAGGCCCACAUAAUGGGCGGUCACUAUCAAAAAUCAUAAAUUCAUCAUAAAUGAUCUCUGAGUCUUCUCUUUCUCUCUCUGUCAACUUUGCAUGAAUAAAAUAUUACAAACAAGUUGCUAUAUAAAGACUCACUUCUGUAACCCUACUGAAUUGGUGAUGGGUUUCUGAGAUAAUCCUGAACUUUCCAUCUCUAUAUUACACUUUUCUUCUACUUCUCCAUUUUUUUUUCUUUUAUCUCUCUGCUGCAUAAACAUCAAAAUCUUAAAAAAAUUAAAAAAGAAACCUAGUUUCUCUCUCUCUUAAGCUUCUCUCUUCUUCUUUCAGUUUCUCCAUACCUCUGUUACUCAGUUCAUCAAUCUCUCUCUCUCUUUCAGCCCAUUCUUUUCUCCAUACAGAGACUUUCUUUUCUUUCCUAAAUUCUUGGGUUCUUUCUUUCGUUCUUUCUUUUAUAAGCAUGGAUGUUGACAUGAUGAAAUCAUCAUCAUCAUCAUCAUCAGGAGAGGAACACAUGGACAUGAUGACAAUGAUGAUGCAAAUGGAAAAGCUUCCUGAUUUUUGUGACCCUAAUAUGCAACAAGAAAUCCAUUUUGGCUCCAAUGGAAAUAAUACUAUUUAUAAUGUUUCUGCUUCUUCUUCACUUCUUAACCCUAACCCAUCUCCUUCUUUACCAUUUUUGGCCACUACAACUCCAAUUCAAGAACCCAUUACAGGAUCUCUUCAGCCUAAUAUGGUAACAGCAACAAAAUUCAAAUAUCCACCUCCAUUUUCAAAUGCAAACUCGUUUUUAUCAUCAAUGGAAAAGAAAAACUCAACAGCAGCCAUUAGAGAAAUGAUUUUUCGCAUUGCUGCUAUGCAACCGAUUCAUAUAGACCCAGAAUCGAUAAAGCCUCCAAAAAGAAGGAACGUUAAAAUAUCUAAAGAUCCACAGAGUGUAGCAGCAAGGCAUAGGAGGGAAAGAAUAAGCGAAAGGAUAAGGAUUUUACAAAGAUUAGUUCCAGGAGGGACUAAAAUGGACACUGCUUCUAUGUUAGAUGAGGCUAUACAUUAUGUCAAGUUUUUGAAAAAGCAAGUGCAGUCUUUAGAACAAGCUGGGUCUAAUAGACCAAUGGCUGGCUUUCCGUUUUCAGGUUUAACAAUGCCUAAUAUGGGUUAUUCUUCUUUGGUUAAGAAUUGCCAGUCAAGUCCUCAUAUGGUGGGCUCAAUGCAGAUACUUAGAUAAAAGACAGGAUUGGGUUAAGGUUAAUUAUAUGAUUUUAAUGUGCAUUAGUUGUGGUUUGAGAGAUAUUGUAAAUUACUUAAGAUUAUUCAGCUGUUAUCUUGUUCCCUUUGUUGUGUAAUAUUAUUUCAAAUUGAUGAUUCUAAUUAUCAUUAUUAAUUAAUGUAAGCCUUGUUCCAAAAAUUCUAUUGUAUCUCUUCUCUCGUUAGAAUGUUGAAAAGAUCAAUGUCUAAUCUAUGACUUAAUUAAUUAAUUAUCAUAUCAAGUAAUUAAUGAAAUGGACUUAGAAAAAAGGAAUAUAGAUGCAUACGGCCUGUUUAAAUCUUCUUUCUGUCUGUCUGUCUUUCUUUUCCCCCUCUCUAUUUCUUCACUCUUGUUCGUUUUUAGAAACUUUCUUUUCUGUUUUUGAACUUCUAGAGAUUUUUCUUCUUUUCUUUUUUUCCUUUUCUAUAUAUACUCCAAAAGAAAAAUCUUAUAUAAGUGUCAAAGACUUAGAGAGUCAACAGUACUAAUAUAUAUAUGUAACCAUGCCAUGCUGUAAAGUUGGUUGGGAUAGUUUUAACACCUUAAACCUUGGAUCUUUUGUUACAUUAUGAAGCAGAUAUUUAAUUGUUUAGUUAUUAGGCAAAGGUCUAUGUAGUUUGUACUAAAUGUUAUGAACAAUAUGUACUUGAUUUUGAGCAAUUGAAGGAUCAAUUUAUUUUUUAUCGAAGAAUACAAAAUGAGGAAGCCUCUCAAUGGAGCGUUUGAAUGAGAAAAGCACGGACAGAAUCUGGUAAAAAUUCAGAACUAAGCUAUAAUUGCCUUCUGGGGUUCGACCAACAUUAAUUGAACCUUUACAGUAAGUGAAAUGGGGAUUGCCCAAAAGGUCGAUCGGUUACAUAUUUCCCAUACUUUGUACACAAAAAUAAGAGAUGAAUGUUGAGCUGUACAAAGAUAGUUUGGCACCCAACUUGCAGGAGAUGCUUCUCUUGAAGAGACUCCAUUCAAUAUCUUUUGUAAUUCAGUGUUCAUUGUAUACUGUUGUUCUACCAAAAUUCCUUUAGAUUCAACUUUAUCAUUGGAAUGGCUCACCCGAUCAAUUAUUUUUGGCACCCAUUCUAACCAUUCUGCUGUUUCAGACUAUUCCUUCUGACGAUCGAUUCUCAACUUCUUGCAAAAAGAAAAGACACAACUUGGUAAAGAUUCAACAGCCUAUUAUUCUGCUGGAGAAUAUGAUUAGAUUUCAUCAGAUUAGGAAAGAACCAAGCCAUCCUUAUCUAUACAUGGCUUUAUCAGUAUUUUAAAUUGCAACAUUCAAUUUUCAACCAUUAACUUUUUAUUGUUCGAGGAGUUCAAAUGAGAAGGCAUUGGAAAAUAAGAGGGACAAAAGAAUACUAUUUAGAAGACUAAAUCAAAUUGUCAUCAACUAACACCAGAGAUAUGAGUGCACAGUUGUUUUUACGUACUCUUCAAUCACAAAUAAUUAGAAAAAAGAAAUAUGAGAAAUGACUUAAACGAUAAGAUAUGUUUGAGUUGAGUGGACGGUUUCUAUAAAAAAAAUUACUUAUAAGAUAACUACGAAUUCUAAAACUAAAAUAAUCGUAUACUGAAAAAGUAUGACCUAGAAUAUAUAAUUAAAAAGCCGUGUAAAUUUGGGAUUUUCAUAAUAAUGCCAAAAAAUAAUUAAAAAAAAAAAUAGGCAACAUUAAUCUGAGUGGCCAAACUAAGUCACGCUCCAAAUCUCGUUAUCUCUGGAAAACUAAGACAACUAGUAUUUUUGUGAAUAGUUAACAUAAAACAAUUGAUUUUAGGAAUUCCAAAAAAAGGAAGAUUUAUUUUGGAAAUUGCAUUUGUGGGAGAAUUAAAAAAUUUUAUACUUUAUUAGUUAAAUUAAAAUUAUGUAUUCCACUCAAAAAAAAAAAAAAAAUGGAAGCAUACCUCCUAAUUUAUUUUUCUAAAUAUAAAAAAUACAUUUUNNNNNNNNNNNNNNNNNNNNNNNNNNNNNNNNNNNNNNNNNNNNNNNNNNNNNNNNNNNNNNNNNNNNNNNNNNNNNNNNNNNNNNNNNNNNNNNNNNNNNNNNNNNNNNNNNNNNNNNNNNNNNNNNNNNNNNNNNNNNNNNNNAAUAUAUAUAUAUAUAUAUAUAUAUAUAUAUAUAUAUAUUUCAGCUUAAUCUAACAUAGAAAGAUUUUUUUUUUUCUAUGGAUAUUAUCGUAAGUUUUAUAUUGUUGGUUGUUCUUACAUGUUAUUUAAAAAAGAGUUACCAAGGUCUUCUUUUGGUUUGGUGUCGGGCUAUGGCAAUGUUAUCUUGCAGGUUGAUUCAACUAGCCUCAACAUAGAUCACCAGGUCUGAUUAUGGCUUGUCAAAAACUUCUUCUUCGUUAAUGGCAGGUUUCCAUUACAAAGAUUUAUAAAGAAGCAAUUUUUGCAGCAAUCGCCUUUGACUUUUCCUAGCGGAAUUAAUGUGUUAAAUCAACUUUUCCAUGGCAAUAAGAAGAUCGAUAGAAGUUGAUAGUUGUAGUGUGUUUUUUCCCUCGAACUAUUGCAGUGUAGAUUGGGUUUACAGCCCUCCACUUAGAUCAAAAUAAAUAAAAAAAUAACUUGCAACAAAGCUAAUAUUAUUGACUAACUUUCAUCCAUUACAUUAAUGGAAAAAAAAAAAAAAAAAACAUAUCAUUUAUACUAGAUUUAUGAGGUUGGUGAAGAAGUAUGACAUUUUAUAUAUGAUCUAGCUAGUUUCAAAUUUAGGAUUUUGAUAUGUAAAAAGCGAGAAAUAAAUCUAUUGAUCAAGUAAGUUAAUCAUUCUUGUAUAUUUUCCAUUGCAAGAUUUACAACAACGUAAUACAUGUCCUUUUAUUUAGAUUUUAUAUAUCAAUUCGUCAGAUGAAAAAGAAAUUGUUAGAAUCUUGAAGAAAUUACAAACUUUAUUAGUAUUUAACCAAAUGAGCUAAAAUCAGAAUGCAACUUUAUAUGCAAUUUUUAAAUAUGUUCUAUAUAUACUGAAUUAAAUGAAAUCUUUUCAAAGCAAAACAAACUUUUCCUCUAUUUUAAUUAGUCAAACAUCAUACUACAAAAAAAAAAAAAAAAAAAUCAGACAGUUGAAGUUAUUAUAAGUAGUUAGCAAAGUUGACUAAUGAAAUUUUAUCUUAAACAGAAUGGUCUGAAAAAGACAUCAACACGAGUGGGAUUAUAGAAAAAAAAAAAAAAAACCAAUUUGAUAAUUUAUUUAGUUAUUUAAAAAUUUUAGUUUAUUAAUUUGGAAUGGGCAGGUAGGUUGCCUCCCAAGGCAGGGUCGAAUUAUGGUAGUGUUGAUGUCUUAAGGAUCAUGCUUCGCUAAAAGCCAAUCUCUCUCCCUCUUUCUCACCUCUAGCUAUCCAAAUAAAGCCAAAGUGGGUAUUAUUAUUAUUAUUACUGUUAUUUUUAAUUUAUUAUUAUAUAAAAACUAUAUUAUAAAGAGAAGAGAAUUAAAGAAAAAGAUAAAAAUGGUCAAACCGCAUCUAACAAAUAGAAAGGCAUGUGUGAUAUGCCACUAAGGUCCCAACAUACCCACAGUGGGCUUUUGAUUAUUUGAAUUUAGGACAUUUUAUAUAUAUAGUGCAUUGUAUUGUAUCCCUCUUUCUGACACAUUCUAUCAUUCUUUUUAUCAUUUCAUUCAUAUACCCAUCUACCUCUUUUCUUAGGAUAAGUUCCCAUGUUCUUUGUGGCAGGAUAAAAAAGCCUAUAAUAAGAACAUUCUUAGAAUUUUUUUUUUUUUUUUUACCCUUUUCAUUAUCUUUUUCUAUCUCCAUAAUUAAAGAUCAAUGCGCUUUUUUGUUAGCUAAUGGUUUUGAAUUAAUUGAAUGUUAGUUAUAUAUGACUUUCAGAGAAUUAAUUACUAAAUAUGUUAGAAUUAACUGAUUAAGGGACUAUAUAGUAUUUUUUUUUUAUAUAUAAUUAAUGAAUUAUUUAUUACUUUAAAAGACUAAGGGAGGUGAUACAAUAAUGCUAGGGAGGUGCGACUAUAAAUGCAAAUUGCCAAAUAGGUCAAAUGAGAUUUAAACAUAUUACAUAGGUUGAAAUGUGAAAAUAAUUUUUUUUUAAAAAAAAAAAAUUACAUGAUGCGAACAGAGACAAUAAAAUGGUUGGUUGGAUUAGACCUUGGCAGAAGUGCUCACUUUAUAGGGACAGGUGGAGAGGACUUACUCUCAUCUAUUUUUCUUUUGGUUUGAUUUGGACUUUUUAAGAGUUUCUUCCAAUUCCAUUAUUUCUGUCCCUUAUGCAAGGUGAGAUGAAUUUUAAUUUUUCAAAUCCGACAAAAUAAAUUUCGACAAAUCAAUCAUUCUACAUGGCUUUGCCUCUUCUCCGGGAUUUUUUUUUUUAAAGAAUAAAAUAAAAUAAUUGUUCUUAAAUUCUACCACAUCAAAUCACUAUUUUCAGAUUUCGAACUUUUCACCUUAUAAAGUAAAAUUCGCUGAGUUGAUCCAACCACUUAUUGAAAAAAUGAAAAAAAAAAUGCCCAUUUCAACGUCAAUAAUGCAAAAAAAAAAAAAAAAAAAAAAAAAAAUUGCAUGGGAUUUUGGGUUGGGUUGGGCUGAAGUUGAUUUAGUUGGGCCAUAACCUCAAUUGAUUGCAGGAAGAGUUUCCCGAUUAACAAUUAUUAUUAUUAUUAUAAUUUAUAUCAAUCCCUUGAUUUCCUAUAUUUAAAAGAUUUUUAUUUAGUUAGUAUCUACAUACAUAUAUAAAAAUAGCAGAUUCAAAUUUGUUGAAGCUAGAGCUAGCUAGACAGGGUUGAGUGAAGAAAGAUGGCCCUGUUCUACGAGUGAUCCAAUACAAUCAUCAAACAUUUUCUUUAUGGACUUGAACUCAAAUCCUAAGCUCUUCAAUUUUGAUGUGUUAAAAUCAUAAAAUGGUCUGUUUAGUUGCUCAAACCUGAAAAAAACCAAUAAAACAUCAACUGGCACUGUUAGUUACUGACAAGAGAAAUUUUGUUCUAUAAUCACUAUUAUUAUAAUUACCUUUUUGGGACGGGUAGAGAAGGAUAAUGAGCUGAUAAGAACGAAACUAGUUCAUCAUUAUCUAAAACUGAUGAGCUACAUAGGUAUCUUCCAACAGCACUUUGAUGUUCAUAAACAAGGAUAUGGCAAAGUGCCACAUCAUCUAUGUGAACAUACCCCAUCCUUCCAUGCCACUUGAAUUUCUCAGUUUCCCCUGUUUCAUCCAUUCAUGUUGUUUAGAAAUACCAAAUCAAGCCCGCUCUAACAAUACACUUUCCGUUGAGCCGUAACGUAAUAUAAUGUAUCAAACCUAUUUUUAAUGUAAUCUUUACACUAAAAAUGCAUUUAUUAUAUUACAUUAUAUUUCAUUACAGUUCAUUACAGUUCAUUAAAUGAAGGUUUGGUAUAAAUGAAUUCAAAAUUGAAAAUUUAUUUACUUUUAUAAAAAAAGGAGAAUUGAAUUUUAACUCUAUGAAUUUGAAUAUAACUAAAUCAAAUUGAAUUUAUAUCCACCUUUCUUGAAUGAAAUUUGGUUUAAUUGUAUUCAAAUCCACGGAAUCGAAUUCGUGGAAUCGAAUUCUUAAUAUCUUUUGAUACCAAACAUAAAAAUUUAGAUUUAUAACUGAAUUUCAGAAAAUCUCGUGAUAUUUAUUUGUACCAAACAAGGUUAAUAUCAUUUUAACUGCUGUUUAGCAUCGUUUUUAAAGAAUUUGAAGCACCUCGAAGCAGGCCAAGAACAUCAGAUGCAGUAGAACACAAUUGAGUUGGCAAACUAGGACCGAUCACGAAGGAAGGAAGAACAGUUAUCAAAUGAAUCCCAUUUUUGUUGCAGAAAUCCCAUGCAGCUCUUUCAGCUAGUGUUUUUGAUAAAGGAUACCAUAGCUUCAUAUUCAUUAACACGUUAGCCUUUUGUUGUUCUAAUACAAUGUAGUAUUAAUUAUAACUAUAAAUUAACAGCAAUUUUUUACCUGCAGUGUCUCGCAAAGUUCAACAGAGCUCCAAGACGACUCGUCAAAAGGUACUGUGGGCUCAAAAUCAUCUCUAACUCUUACAGUUGAUGACGAUGAGGUCAGAAUUACACGCUUUAGAGAUGGAUUUUUUGCGCAAGAAUUCAAUACAUUCAACGUGCCUUUUACAGCCGGUUCCAAGAUUUCUGCCUGCAACACCAAAAUUUUAAAAAGAAAAAGAAUUACAUUUGCAUAUUAAUUAGAAAGACAAAAAGUCUAAUUUGGUGUUUCUGCAACUUAAUAAGAAACACAUUUUGGACAAGUAAAAAGAAAGAAGACAAUGCCUUUGGAUCAGAGGAGGGUUUGAGCACAGGGGAGGCAGUGUGAAAUACACCAUGGCAGCCAAAUAUUGCAUCAUCAAAGCUGCCUAUUUCCAUUAAGUCAGCUUUCACUAAUUGAAGUCUCUCAGAAGCUCCUUCUAACUUCCACAAGUGAGCUAAUUGCUUCUCAUUUCCUAUUAACAAACAUACAAAAUAUAAUAAUGACUUUUUUCUUAAAUAAUUACAAUUAAUUAGAUCGUUUUUAGUAAAAGCAAGAGAGACAAACCUGGAUCUCUUACUGUUCCAAUGACUUGGUAUCCUGAUAAUAGCAGUCGCUUGAUAAGCCAAGAAGCCAAAAACCCAGAAGCACCUGUUACACAAACUUUGCCUUCUACUUGAUCCAUGUAUAAGUUCUUGGUUCAAACUAAUUAAUAGUGUAAUUGCAUCCAAAUGGUUGAUCGAAUAUAUAAGAUUGGAUUAUCUUAGUAGGUGGCAAGUAGGAUUGUGGAUUAAUAAGAAGGUAGGUCAUGCUAUGCAUGCAUGAAAAGCAAUUACACUCUUCUUUUCAUGUUAUUUAGUAUUAGGUAAAGCUAUAAAUAUAUCAUUGAUGUAAUGGACCCGUUCAGGCUUUUCUGAUUUGGGCCUCAACUGGUCCAUAUCUUUUGUGCAAAAGCUUUCAGCUUCAAAACACAGUCCAAAUUGAUUUGGGCCUCUCGAUCACGAGAUGAAUGGCUGGGUGGUCCAACUGAUCCAUAUCCUAAGUAGUAACAAUGUCCUCUUACUAUUUGAUCAUUUUUAGGAUCCAUUGUGAAGCUAAUAUAGUGUCAAAUAUUCUCUCUAAUGAAGUUCUUGAAAGUUGGGUUGGGGUUUGGUGAAGCUGGAGCAUCCUUCUUCUCAAGUUUAGCUAAUAGGGUAUAGGCUUUCUAGCCUAGGUAAGUGUCUACCUUACCCCGAUUUAUUUAGGGUUGUCAAAACAAAUUUGUGUAAGUAUCGAAUUAAUUUAAUACAGUAAAAUGAUUAUAGUGAAUAUUUACUGACAUAUUUAUUAACCGCAUCAAAAAUUUAAACUCUAACACAACACAUGUAAUAUAUGUUGUAACACAUGUGAUAUGUUUAAUUAAGUAGAUUGCACGUGGAUUAUAAAAUCCAACGUAAUGCUCGUAACUUACCUAUAAUAAGUAGCUCAAAUUCAACACUAACGUGUUUAAUUAAAUAUAAAUUACAAAUAGAUUUACGAGUCAACUCAUUACAUGAAUAUACUAAGACUCAAUCCCCUCGUAUUAAUUUUAGAUGUUCGGUGAAUUCAUACGUACAUACGUCACAGUCCAAUUUGAUAGACCUAAAUUUUUUUUCUCUCAUUAUCAAAAAAUAAUAUAAAAUAUACCUAAUCAAAUAAAAUGAAGCAUGGAAAGAUACCCAAUCUUAUUUUAUUUCACAGCAAGUGUAAUUCUGAUUUCUCCGGUCCAUAAGCAGCGCAAGUGUGUCUUUAACCCAUGUGUUUGGCCAUUGUUCGUCAAAUCCAGUUACGUACGUAGAGCAAACCCACAGAUAUUUAUUCCUAAGAUAAAGAUUAAUGAAAGUCAACAAAUGGGAAACCUCUUUGGUCUCUGUCGGAACCAAAAAAAAUAUUGAAAGGACAUAUGAAUGAAUAUAUCCAUUCAUAUAGGAUAAGUCAUGGAAUUACACAUUGGAAUGGUCACGUAAAUUUUAUGUACACUCACAUUUCCACUUCCUUGUAAAUUCCCAUUUGUGUUUGACUGUGACCUAAUUCAUCCUUUUAUUUAUGCUAUUAAAGGAUGACAAUUUCCUAAUAAAAUACUAAUAUUUGAAAGAAAGAUUUAAAUUAUGAUUAUCGUCUAAGAUUGACCCUUGAUUUAUCCGUAAUGAGCUGCUUCUUGGAAACUCACCAGUUGAAACUGCACUUGUGUGAACAAUUCUUUUUUUUUUUUUUUAUUAAAUAACAAUAUUUAAACGUGCUCCUUCAAUUGUUUUGUGCGUGAUGGUUUUUUACUCUUCUUCUUUGAUUAUUCAAUUCUAACCCAAAAGGUCAAAAUUAAAUUUCUCAGCAUAAAUAAAUAAAUAAAUAAAUAUAUAUAUAUAUAUAUGUAUAAUAUAAUAUCCAAGUAAAGAGUGACUGAGGGAGUUCCUACUUCCUACUCCUAUAUUCCAUGAUUUGUGGAUCAAAUCCACUUGAUAUGGGUCCCGCUUAUGCAAUUAUAAUAAUCACCGUUGGAGGCCCAACAUGGCAAUAUGCCCCAGUGGAGAAAGAAAACAAAAACCAAACAAUAAUUCUGGAGAAUUUAUAUAUUAUGCCAAAAUUCAUUAGUUGGUACUUAUAUUUUUUGUUAUUUAAUCCUUAAUAUUUUCUAACGUCAAAUGUUGAGUCCUUCUGUCUAUUUUUUUCUUUACUUCUGAAUUAAAAAAAGCAUUGUGAAAAGAUGAAGAUACUUUUAUGUACCCAUAAGUUCAGUUAAAUAUAAAUUGGUGGACAAUUUAUUUUUUGUAUUCGGUUGACACCGCAAUUGUUCUAAAUUCAUUGGACUAAGUUUAAUUCUACUCGCAUUACGGAUCAACAAGAGCAUAUGCUCACAGCAGUUACAAGACAAACUAAUAAAUUUUAGGAUAAUGUAGAAAUGUUAUAAUAAUAUUUUUCAAUAAUUUUUUAAUCCAGUCAAAAUAACACCCUUUAAUCAAGUUUAAAAGGUAUGCAAGUAAGAUUUUUCGAUAAUACUGAUUGUUGGAUUUAAACUUCUGAAUAUACAAAUAAAAUACAUUUGAGAAAGCACUUCAUUCAACUGUAAUUUUUUUUUAUCCUACUUAUCGAUAAUCAUUACCAACUACAGUAAUUACAAGCAGUUAAAUCCUAAUAAUUUAAAGUUUAUAUAAUCGCUUAAUCUAGUAAAUACAAUAUGAAACAACCAAAUUAUCUCUUUUUUCAAAAAAAAUUUCCUUUAGGAGAAAAUUUUCAAAAUCAGUAGAGGCAGGAUCUUGAAAGGUCGAAUCAAACAUGGCUGCAAGUGGGUCAGCCCACUUAGAGUAGAAAAUAUAAAAUCUUUAGGAGCUUUCAAACGAAGCAAAAACAAGGCUGCAGAUAUGGAAAUUGACUGUUAUACAGCCAUGGACCGUAUUUGGUGCACUUGCAAUUUGCAGCAAAUUGCAUGUUUCGGUGGCUACUAAUAUAUUAUUUUUUAACGUCUACUUGCAAAGUUUGGACCGUCCGCUUCCCAUUAGACCCAAUUUGACUGAACACGGUCGCACCGUCGGCUUCACCUUGUGGUUCUAUGAAUCUGAACUCACGUGGUCUUAUCCAUUAACCGACAAAUUAGGAUCGCACUGUUUUUAUCCUCCCUUUGCUCAUCAAAAUUUGACAGUUUGGCGGCGAUUCAGAUUUUUUUCUGUUCAAAAUUCUUUUUUUUUUCCCCUUCCACUCAAAGCUAUUUUAAUGGAGUCAAAUGUCUAACAGUUGUUUUUUGAAAGUAGAUAUUAAUAGUUGUUCAAACUAUUAAACUUUAUUAUUAUAUGGUUGAAGUAAACUAAUAAAGCGGCUCAAGAAAAAAAUCUAGCCCAUUACAGUUAUUUAUUUAAUAAAAAAAUACUUGCUUAUUGUCAUUGUACAUCAACUGUAACAAUAAUCAACAGGGUUAAUUUACAUGCAAAGGACUUAAGUCCCUUAAAUAGAGAUAAAUAUUUAAUGGGUAAUUUGAAUAACAUUUUUAACCGAAAUAAAAUAAAUUAAUUUUUUAAUCGAAUUUAAUCAAAUCGUUUUGACCAAAUUAAUUUUGACUAUAAGUUAAAGAAAAUGAAAAUUUAAUUAACUGACUGAAUUUAAUAAAAAUUUAUGAUUAACUGACUUUAAUCGAAAUAAAAACUAACUAAAAUUAUUAAUCACUAGUUAAUCCAAAUAAAAUUAAUAUUUUUUAAUUUUUAAUUUUAUUAUCUAAUUAAUCAAAACGAUAUAGUUUUGAAAGUCGAUUAAUUUGAUUAAUUCGGUUAAAUUAACUUUGCACCGAUCACCGAAAAUCUAAUUUUUUUUAAUCAAACAUUUAUUCAUCGAAUUGAAUUGCUCAAAUUAGCUGAACCAAAUGCUCAACCUACCCUUAAAUAAGAGACCAAAUGUUUGAUCAUUGUAAAUAAAGGCAACCCAUUGCAAGUCUUUUCUCCUUAUGAAUUGGGAUACAAUAAAAUUUUAAAUUCGAAUAAAUUCAGAGUGGAGCGCUUAAAAUACUAAAGAAACUCUCUUUGAUCAUACUUAGUUUUGAAUUGUAUUAUAUCAAAUCCGAUAGAAUCAAAGUAUUUCGCCAUCUUUAAAUUUUCAAUUGACAUGCAUUUAAAAAAUUUUGGCAUUGUCUUUAUCUAAUAAACAAAAAUACUAAUCAUAUCUCCUCAACUUGAUGUACUAUUUGAUAUGCACAACAUCUCCUUCGAUUAAGGAAAAAACAAAUACUAUCAUGAGACUGCAGAGAAAAUCAUUUUAUGUAGAAUUUUUGUUAAUAAUGGUACUAUCACACCUGUGAAAGAAAUGUGUUGAAAGCUCCCAUGUCAAGUAAAUAGAAAGCAUCCUAACUAAGAAUUUAGAAAAUCCAAGAAACGUGACCCAUGAAAGGAAAAAGGGAUGCCAUUAGAUUCAGCAAAGAACACCCACCUAAUAAGUUAAGUAACACUCUAAAACAACACUAUCACACAAAGGAAUUGCCAAAUCCCAAGGAAAGUGAAAGCCCCAAUUCUCACCAUAUAAAAAAUCCCAUUUCUACUUGCAUCUCUCUCUGGUCCCACAAUAUUAUGUACUGUGUUGUGUUCACUUGACGUGAUGCGAGACUUGCAGCUUCAACUUGCUCUCUGCCCCUUUAUUGUUACCUUUUACUACCACCUAAAGAUAGUUAGGAAGGCACGUGACUCCAGCUUUGGAAUUUGGACUAUAACCACCCAUUAUAACUUCCGCCCACCAUUUUAUAUUCUCAUUUUAAUCCAAUUUAGUAUUGAAAAAAUCAAUACGUAUGUAUUUUCUUUAUGUUUAAGCAAGAGUAAAAUAAUAUGGUUGGGACCCAAAAGCGGUAGCAACUGGGCAACCAUGACAUGAGCAUUACAUUAGAUAUAAAAUUGAUAAAAAUGGAUUACCAUUACUACAACUUUUAUAUAUUCUUACGGAGAACGUGCCAACAUGUGAUGGCUAAGGUUGGCAGGCGGACCAUGAACAUGAACAUGAACAUGGUAUAUAAUAUACUGAUAAACCAAAUUUCAUGCACAAGUUGGCCAAUGUCAUGUCUUAAAUUUAGAAACUUGGAAUUUGUUAUCUUUUUCGCUGGAAAAGAGGGUUAUUUGAAUCUUACCAAAUUUCUGUAAUUUCUUGAUGGCUGUUAAAGACAUUAAUACAUGCUUUUUUUAGCUACGUCUAGGUGCAAGAUUUUCUUGGGAGUUUGGACCUUCCUUCUUCUUUUCUGACCUUCCUUCUUCUUUUCUUUAUUUUUUCAAAUUUUCCCAUCAAAAUGAAAUCUGAAAAUUACUAUAAAUUAUUUAAUGGAAGUUUCUCCAAUGGAGACAAAAGAAGAAAAGAUGAUUGGUAUAGAAUAGGAAGUAUCUUAGCAGAGGACCCAGUGUAUACGUGGAGAAGAGUGGUUGGUUGGAUAUGAAGCAAUGGAAGUUUCCUCUCUAUUACUAUUUCUUUCUAGCUAUGUUGAAGGAAAACAAUUCCUAUAUAUAAAAAGAAAGAAAAAAGGAAAUUCAUAAUAGUUCUACCACAUUGUGUGUGGAUAUAUAUAAACAAAUAAAUAGAGAGUGAGCUGUGAACAACUAUGAAAGAAAUGAGGAAUAGCAUAUGUUUUAUGUAAGUAGAAACUUCUUGGCUAAUGGAUAGGAUCAAAAGAAUAAGAUUUCUUUUGAUCUGAAAAGAUAUUUGUAUGACCUGUUCUUACCAUGUAAUCAACCACUCCUUGCAAAAACAACUUGUUCUUGCUGCUUCUUACUCCAUAACUAUGAAUUCCCAAUUAUUUCAAUUCGCAAGAUUCCAGAUAGUGUUUGAAUUAAUCUAUAAUUUUCAUAAUUAUUUAUAUAAUACCCACUAAAAUACGUGUAUUUACAUACAUAAAUUGAAUGUAUAGGCUAAUUAAUUUUGGGAAUAAUACCCGAAUUUGAUGGGGGAAAAAAUGUUGAAAAUGAUAUUGCAUUGCCAACUUCACAUUAAACACGCGUUUGGUGUUUGCGUCCAAAGACAGCUACAACAUGUAUAUAUAUAAGAAACACUCAGAUUCUAGACAUGAGUUAGGAAAGAAUAGUUAAUUAAUCAUUCAUAUCUUUUUUCUGCUACUUCAAGUCACAAUUAAAAAAAUGCUUACCACCCUACAAAUACACGUUGUUAGAAUAGUGUAUGUCAAGGUUAAAAAAUUGCUAUUUGCUAUUUUGGAUCAAAUUCAUUAUUUACAUAUUUUUCACAUUUCAGAUUUUUGUUUUAAAAAUUGUAUAUUCCAAGUUGUUCAAUUCUUCAAAUAAUUGAACAACUUACAUCUACUCUCUAAUUGUCUGCCGACAAGUCAAGAAAUCAUCAUAAAUUUUUUAAGAAAUCUCAACAGUUUUGUUAUGAUUAUUUAAUUUACAUGUUCACAUUUUAAACAUAUUUAUGUUUGUUAUUUGUAACAUUAUAAUUUAUGUUCAUGUAAUAAAAAUUGUGCCUCUGUUUUAAUAUUAUUAUCACUUGUAUUUUCUUUUUCACCAAAUGCUGCUAAUAUAAUAUAAAUGACAUCUAUUUACACGCGGACCACGUGGGUAUUUUGAAAUUAAUGUAAAAGUGAUAAUUUUACGUUUUAAAUGCUUGAUUUAGUAGAUAAAGUUUGACUAAAGAUAUAGUCUAGUGUCAAUAAUUCGAUUAUUUUAUAUAUCAUUUUAUUUCUAUCGCGUGUUAAUACUCAAUUAUUACAUAUAUUAUAAAAAUUAUAUAAAAUUCACAAAAUAAAAUAAAAAAAAUCAACUUCAAAAUCUUUUGCCACAAAACCGAAUCCACCUUAAUGUUAAUAUUCUAAUUAAUGUUGGGCAAUUCAAGAGAAUCUAAUUUUUUUCUUAUUGCCAAAGGAUGAUUUAAGAAAGAAAAUUACAAAAUCUUAUAAUUAAGGAAAAACAUAAUCCCUAUUCCUAACCGUGUAUCGUAUAGCCAAGCCAAGCAAACUGUAAACGUGUGUGUACAAACCAACACGCGUAGGCGUAGAUCAACGGUAAGAAUCCACCGAAUCGAAAGAAAGGAUCAACCAUAUCCACAUACUCUAUCACGGACACGUUUUUAAACAGCGCCUACCCGUUUUCUUUUUUCCAUAUUUUAAUUUCUUAAAUUGAAAAUUAGGAAAAAAAUUCACAAAUAUACAAAAUUUUUGAGUGCCGAAAAUAAAUUCCUUGCCUAUCACGUGCAUUAAAUGUAUACCGACAUUUAAUAUUCAAAGAACUGCCAGAAAAUCCUCUCUAUAUAUAAAUUGGGUUUGCUUGUGGGUUUUACCACUAGUUCGUUGUGACUUGCUACCUCUGUUCUCUCUUCCUUUGCCUCAAAGAAAGGGAAAAAACAAAUUCUACAAAUUUCACUCAAAAACCCAUCGAGAAAGAAACCAGUUCUUGCUCCAAUGGAUUGGAUUCGAGGUGAGUCGCUUGGUUGUGGUAGUUUUUCUUCUGUCAAUUUAGCCAUACCCAGAAAAAACUCCGCUCCAUUAAUGGCUGUGAAAUCUUGCGAUCUUUUUGACUCUGUUUUGCUCGAGAAUGAGAAGGAAGUGUUAUUGCAUCUUGGGAAGUGCGAGAAUGUGAUUCAGUGUCUUGGGAGUGAUCAAAGUGUUGAAAACGGUGAAAAGUUUUAUAAUUUGCUGUUAGAGUAUGCUUCUGGCGGCAGUUUAGCUAAACUUGUAAAGAAUUCCGGCGGUUGUUUACCGGAAUCGGAGAUUAAACGUUUCACAAGAUCGAUACUAAAGGGUCUUCGUGAUAUUCACGCAAAAGGGUUUGUUCACUGCGACAUAAAGCUUCAGAAUUUAUUGUUGUUUGAUAAUGGUGAAGUGAAAAUUGCGGAUUUUGGAUUAGCCACAAAAACAGGGGAAAAAUCGGGGAGAAUGGAAAUUCGAGGAACUCCUCUGUAUAUGUCGCCGGAAUCAGUCAACGAGAAUGAGUAUAAUUCACCAUGUGAUAUUUGGGCUCUUGGGUGUGCUUUGGUUGAGAUGGCGACGGGAAAACCGGCGUGGAAUUGCAAGAAAGAAACCAACGUAGCAGCUUUGUUGAUUCGAAUUGGAUUAGGAGAUGAAUUGCCAGAAAUUCCUCAAGAAUUGUCUAAAGAAGGAAAAGAUUUUCUAUCGAAGUGUUUUAUUAGAGAUCCUAAGUCAAGAUGGACGGCUGAGAUGUUAUUAGAUCAUUCUUUUGUUGCUGAUGACAUUAACAACUGUACUGUUACAUUGAAGAACAGAGAAGAAGAAGAAGAAUCACCGAGAUGUCCUUUUGAAUUUCCAGAAUGGAAUUCAUUUCCAUCUUCUACACCAAAAUCUGAAUUAUGGUCUCAUGGAGAAGCAGAAUCAAGAAUUGAUUGGUCUAAUUUGACCUGUUCAUCUUCGCUGGCGGAUAGAAUCCGGCAACUACAGAGUGAUCAGUGUUGCAAUUGGUCCUUCUCUGAAAGUUGGGUCACUGUUAGGUGAUAAAACAGAGCAGCAGUAAUUUCAGGACAUUUUUUUAAUUCAAUUAUUCAGAUUCCAUUUUUUGUAAUGGGUGAUGAUUUUUUGGAAUUGUAAAUGACUAGGAAACAAUUAGAGGGUAACAAAAUAUCUAGCAGACUAACUUUAGAUGAUUGUACAGUGGAAGAGUGUAUAGAACAUUUUUUAACAGAGUAAAAUAAUUUUCUUUUCCAAGAAAGGUCAUACUUGCAGAAAUCUUUUCUUCUUUUAAUGAAAUUGCUUAAUUUUUCAUUUUUUUUUUUUUUUACAGGCAUAGAACAGAGUGCAUGGUGGUAUGUUGGAUAUUUAUGAUUAUGUAUAAAUUAAGGCAUUAAACCCUACAAAAAGUCUCUCCCCUGUUUUUAUGGUUAUAUAUGUGUUCCUAAGAGUAAACUCUAUUGAUUGGAUUAUUUACUAUAAUUAGAAGAAAGUUUUUCUUAGUAUAAUUAAUAACAGCAUGCUUGAAUGAGAAAUUGGUUUGUGAUUUUUUUAAUUAAUUGCAAGGACCAACUUGGAGGAUCUGAAAAGUAGGGAAACAUCCUUGAAAUAUUCUCUGGAUUCCUUGCCAUAACUUCUUCAACAGUCAUUCUUGAUAAGUUUGGUGCAAUUGCUACCUAAAAAGAUAAUACUACAAUCCAAGCAGAUCCUUUUACAAUUAUAAUUUUUGAAAUACAUUAUAAAUUUUAUCAGGAAGCCAAAACUCAUUUAAGGGCAACUCAGCGUAAUAAAAACAGAGAGAUCCAAAUUGAUUGAAAAUGUAAAAAAGAUAAUUGCCUUCUCUUUGGAGAGUAAAAUCACCGUUAAUUGCUUGAAGCAUGUUGUCGUCAUUAACUAAUAAUUAACAAUGAUGGUACCAAAUAUCUUUCAUGAGGAUGAUCACACUUAGCGGAUGCUAUCAAUUUCGAUUUUCUUUCAUCACCUUAUUUAUGGAUUUGAUAUCUUUCAUCAUUUCCUUUUUCUUUUCUACAUAAACUAUCAGAAGAAUAAUUAGACUUAUGGUGUUAAUUGAUUUAAAUAUAUUAUAUUAAAUUUAUUUUUCCAAUCUAAUUAAGAUAAACCAGUAAUUACACAUUUUCUGCACUAUUUUGAAAUAUUAAAACUUAUGGUUCAUAUUUCUUGCUAACAGUUUUUAUAAUAGUGAGAAUACAAGUUUGAUUUUCGAUGAGCUUACUUAUUCUGAGAACAAAAAAAUCACUAAGUUAUAAAUUUUUUAACCAAUAUGAUUGUUAUUGGGAAGCAUGCCAUUAUC
rnacentral:lncRNA from 1 species